rnacentral:lncRNA from 1 species
UGGAUCGUCAGUUGAAUUUUUCAAAGGCUCCAACUUCUCUUCCUGGAUGAUUUCUUAGUGGUGUUAAAAACAACAAAGAAACACCAAGUUUUUGCUAAGCAUACACAGAAAUCUCAAGCAUCGGAGACCUCUGUAAGAUCAUCAGGGAGAUGAAAUAUUUCACGUAUCUCCUCAGGUGUUUUCCCUUCAAUUAUUCGUGCAAGAGCACGACUAGUAAGAUCCACCAAUGGUUUUAAUUGGAGGCUGUCAGCUGCUGAAGUCAACUCACAGAGCAACUUUGCGUCCAUUCGGAUGUAUUUUUCAUCAAAAGCCUUGCAUUCCUACAUAAACGAGUGGUGCCGAGUCAUAUGAGCGUGCCAAGUUUACACCAGCAUCAGAGUAAACAUUUAAUCCAGUGUGCAGGUGGAGAUUAAUGUCCUCAAUAGCUCAAAUUUAUGCAAAACAGACAGAGGGCAUAGACUCAGAAAGAAGUAAAACAGAAUGACAUUCCAAAAACAUGUAGAACCUUGUUCGAGCGACCUGGUACUUGAUGAAAUCGGCAGUAAUCAAGAAUUAAGCUCAACAUUGCAGUACCGACUCUUUCAGGAAGAGAUAUUGCAUGGUUCUUGGAAGCUCCCAUCCCUUUCUGUAUAUUUUCUUUGCAUAUCAUAGGGCAAUACACGUGUUCGCUCCCUAAAUCCGCCAUGGCGCCUUGCGGGCAAGCCGGGGAUUUACUUCACAUAUGAGAUUGGUGGGUGCGGGCGUGCCACUACUAGAUGCCGCUAGUAGACGGGAUUUGAGUGAUUGAGGUUGCGCCUGAAUUUGCCCGAAUCAAGAGAUUGUGUCAUUUGAGUGGGAGUUGCUCAAAUUAAGGUUCUUUGUUUGCCUUAAAAAUAAGGACUUUACUUAUAUGGAGAGAUAGAACAAUAUGUAAAUGAUAAGGUUGCUUGGAAAUAUAAAUGACAGAGGAAAGUGACUAAAAUUGCAGAUUGCUUGUAAUUUAUAUGGCUGGAAAUGAGUACAUAACAGCUACAAAUGAGAUCGAUACCGCAAGUGAGCAGCAGAGCUAAUAAACUAGAUAAAAGAAGGCUUUUUGGUGAAGGUUUAUCCCGAAUGGGAUGAAGGUUUGGGCUGACUACAGCUUCGUUGAAGGCAAAUCUGGCUUGAGCAGAGUUUUGGCUUUUGUUUGUUUGUUUGAGUGUCCAUAAUCCUUGUGCAUCUGCUCCUUUUUAUAGAGGUCUGGAGGAAACCCUCCUGCUGAGGUUUUGUAUCUGCCCGAAAAAAGCUUGGGCAGCUUGUAUUCCAUUGCUUUAGACAGCUUGCAUGCUUUUCACUUGCCAACUUGCAUGGAGAAAUAAUAUUAAAAGGGGAACUUGCAUUUCCACCACAAGCUUUUAGCACAUGUUUUCCCACUUGUAAUAAACUAACAUUUAAAAGAAGCAAGUUGGAUUCUUUCACAUGUUCCUUGCCCGAAAGCUUGCUGAUGCUUUUCCAUCCACUUGCAAUACAUGCAUGUACCUUGAUUAAACAAAUGCUAGACAAACCUCCACCACCCAAACAAAUAGGAGAAACAAUAUUAUAGUGUCCAACCCCUCCACUUGCAUCUAAAUAUCUUUCCAAGUUAGCUUUCUUGCAUAUUAAUCCUCCAAAUGCCAUAUUUUACCCAAAUUGCCCAAAUAAGUAAAAAUGUGUAUAUUUUGAGUGCAAACAGUGCCCCCCAAGUUUUACAAAUUUGAGCAAAGUUUGUGAAACUUACAACCCCAAUGCUGCCAGGAUUGAUGUCGAAGGAAGAGGCACGUCUACAUCUUCAGUCCUUUCGUCGUUGAGAAACUUGGCAAGAUAUGUUCGCUCCCUAAAUCCGCCAUGGCGCCUUGCGGGCAAGCCGGGGAUUUACUUCACAUAUGAGAUUGGUGGGUGCGGGCGUGCCACUACUAGAUGCCGCUAGUAGACGGGAUUUGAGUGAUUGAGGUUGCGCCUGAAUUUGCCCGAAUCAAGAGAUUGUGUCAUUUGAGUGGGAGUUGCUCAAAUUAAGAUUCUUUGUUUGCCUUAAAAAUAAGGACUUUACUUAUAUGGAGAGAUAGAACAAUAUGUAAAUGAUAAGGUUGCUUGGAAAUAUAAAUGACAGAGGAAAGUGACUAAAAUUGCAGAUUGCUUGUAAUUUAUAUGGCUGGAAAUGAGUACAUAACAGCUACAAAUGAGAUCGAUACCGCAAGUGAGCAGCAGAGCUAAUAAACUAGAUAAAAGAAGGCUUUUUGGUGAAGGUUUAUCCCGAAUGGGAUGAAGGCUUGGGCUGACUACAGCUUCGUUGAAGGCAAAUCUGGCUUGAGCAGAGUUUUGGCUUUUGUUUGUUUGUUUGAGUGUCCAUAAUCCUUGUGCAUCUGCUCCUUUUUAUAGAGGUCUGGAGGAAACCCUCCUGCUGAGGUUUUGUAUCUGCCCGAAAGAAGCUUGGGCAACUUGUAUUCCAUUGCUUUAGACAGCUUGCAUGCUUUUCACUUGCCAACUUGCAUGGAGAAAUAAUAUUAAAAGGGGAACUUGCAUUUCCACCACAAGCUUUUAGCACAUGUUUUCCCACUUGUAAUAAACUAACAUUUAAAAGAAGCAAGUUGGCUUCUUUCACAUGUUCCUUGCUCGAAAGCUUGCUGAUGCUUUUCCAUCCACUUGCAAUACAUGCAUGUAUCUUGAUUAUACAAAUGCUAGACAAACCUCCACCACCCAAACAAAUAGGAGAAACAAUAUUAUAGUGUCCAACCCCUCCACUUGCAUCUAAAUAUCUUUCCAAGUUAGCUUUCUUGCAUAUUAAUCCUCCAAAUGCCAUAUUUUACCCAAAUUGCCCAAAUAAGUAAAAAUGGGUAUAUUUUGAGUGCAAACAGUGCCCCCCAAGUUUUACAAAUUUGAGCAAAGUUUGUGAAACUUACAACCCCAAUGCUGCCAGGAUUGAUGUCGAAGGAAGAGGCACGUCUACAUCUUCAGUCCUUUCGUCGUUGAGAAACUUGGCAAGAUGAGCAAGGCAAUUGGUAGUGUAACUAGCAUUGGAAAGAAUGUUGUCUGACUUGUGCAUCCUUCUUGUUGAUACCAAAAAACAUGGGAGCAACCUCACUGAUUACAUAGAUAAUAAAUUGGACAAAUGCUCGAAGUCGGGCAAACUGGAGAACAAGGAUAAAACAUAAAUAAACUUGGGCAACUAUUUAUUUUUUGUCUUUUUCUUUUGGCCUCUUUUCAUAUGUAAUAUAAUAUAUAAUACAAAUACAUAUAUAUAUAUAUAUAAUAUAGCCCACUCGGCAAAGAGAACAGAAAGAGACAAGAAGAAAGAGAAAGGAAGGAAAAGAAAAUAAAUAAAUAAAGAAAAAGGAAGAAAGAGAAGAGGACCCUUUCGGGCAAGAAGGGAACGGAAGAGACAGAAGAGAAAGAAAGGGGAAAGGAAAAGGGAGAGAGGGAAAGAAAUAAUAAAAAAGUAAGGAAAGAACCUUUCUUUCUUAGGCCGAGCCAAGUGAAGGACAGACCUUGAGAAAGGGACAAGGAACAGAAAGCAAGAGAAAAGAAAAAAGAAAAGGAAAAAGAAAGAGAUAGAUAGAGAGAAAAAGAUACCCACGUUCUCUAGCCUUUCCUUUUCUCCAAAAGAGAAGCUGUUUCUCUGUUCGAGGCACCACUUAAAGAUCAAGGUGCGGCAACCAAAAUCCAAGUCUGAGAGAGAGAGAGAGAGAGAGAGAGCAAUCCUUGUUCGUUCCCAAAUUUUGCCUCUUUGGAAUUAAGAGAAGUGGAAAGAUGCCUCUUAAGCUAGCCGACGCCACCAUCUCCACCUUCGAUUGUGUGUUUGACAAAUUCAAAGUAGAAGCUCUAAACAACAAAAUCAAUUUCAUCCUUUUCUUGGCUGACAAUGACCCUUCUACCUCUUGGUGCCCUGAUUGUGUGAGAUCUGAGCUUGUAAUCUACAAAAGGCUAGAAGCUAUACCAGAUGAUGUUGCACUGUUGAGGAAAUCAAACUCCUCUGGUGUUAUUUUGUUCAGAGCCCUCAUAGUCUUUCACACGCGAUCCUCAUCAGAUAGAGCAACCUUCUAGCUGACCAUAGUACCUCAGCUUUGAUUGAAGUAGGAGCAGGCCCUCCUCCUUGGUUCUGUUCAUGCAAAUUAAGCCUGAUUUGCAUCUUGCUGUUUGUGACCAAACCGAUCACCAGACUUUUUGUUCUUCCGGAGAGCACCCGAUGACCGUACUCUUUAAGGCAGGAAUUGGUGUAGAAGUGCCACGCCAAACUCGGCUAUUGGGCUCCGAAUAAUCAAUUUUAGGCUGGAGAUGGAGCUGGAGAUUUGGUAGAAUGGUUUUUGCAUGACCUCAGUUCUGAUCUUCACCACUGGAAUUUCAUCAGGGAGCAAAACAGCUUCCCUAAGCUGUAGUUGAUUCUUUGGGACGGAGUGAGAUGCAUAGUGCGCUAGCACACUCCCCUCCCUAACCAGCAAAAAUCCAGACUUUUCUUCCCAUACUGAGAGAUAAUUAGGGAAACUAGAAAUCCCCGAGAUUGGGGAAUGGAAGAAUAUCACCUGCAAUUGUUGCUUAUUGAUCCAUUCCAUUGAGGUCGGGAGCUAUACUAGACUUUGAUCCGCUGUUUGAUGUUCUUUGCCCGAGCUGCGGUUCCAAGACACCACCCAUGGAUUCGUUUUUGGAGUAACAAUACCACAUCGGGCUCAUGGGAGUUUGCAAUAACCCUGCUGUCGAAAGCAUUGUUGGAAUUAAGAUCGUUAUCACUUCCAACAUGAUGUUGCAGCGCAGGUUUUGGCUGGAAUUUGUUGGGAGGUAACGACGAGCAGCUGUGAGCUACGAUGUUGUUGGUUGACUUGUUUUUCACAGAAGCUUGCUCUGUCCACCAUUUAAGCAAUUUUUGGGCUAGGAAGCCAUUGACAGGUUUGUUGGGGGAGUCGGUGUAAUUUCCAGCAUCUCCUUCAGGGGCAGCUAUGGCACGAGCACUUCAAAUACGUUUGCCCGAUCAAACAUGGGGCCCCAUGUCUAAUUGACAACAUCUAAAUAAAUUGUAGCAGAGAAAAAGUCUUGCUCAUCGGGCAAGAUUAUAGCUCCAUCGGGCAAUAGCAACAUACUUUCAUCAAGCAUUCGGGCAAACUGCAAAAACAAUUCUGCACCCACCAUCCAACCUCCACGGUUUAAUCGUAGCCUCAAUGGUAGUCGUCGAAGUAGCCCGACCCUUGGUUGUAGGAGCUGGUGAGAGUUAGGGAGACAUGCAGAGUCUGUUGGUGGUGAACAGGGAAGACGUCACUUCCGUCGGGCAUGGUUAUGGUGGUCUCAUCGGGCACCACCAAUCGGGCAAGAUAACCCCCCUGCUCUUUUGCAAUAGCCAUUGAGAAGCUGUCUGAUAGAUUUUUGCACAGGAAAGCCAUGAUUUGGCUUUUUAUAAAACCUCCAAUUCCAAGAUUCUGGGUGAGAUUUUGUGGAAAAUGUAGUUUUAUUGUAUGGUUUUGGGUUCGGGCUAAAUACACCCAUUGGAUAAGAGAAAAGGUGGAAAGAAGGGUAAAAAUGGCUACUCACAAACUGCCCAACUCUUUAUAUUUUCUGUAAAAUUCCCCAGCAAGAAAACAAAAAGGGAAAGAAAGCAAGAAAAAACAAAGCAAGAAAGCAAAAUGUUUUUGUAAUUUUUGGAAUUUUUAAUUUUUAUAUCUUUUUCUUUGUAACAACACAAGAAACACACCAAGAAAACAGAGCCCUUUCGGGCAAACAGAAAAAGGAAAUUAAAGGCCUGUCAAGCAAGUUGGAAAAAGACAAAUAAAAAGAAAGACUUGUCAGACUUUCUUUAAAAAGAGUAAAACAUAAAAUGGACAAAAGCCCUUUCGGGCAAACCAACACCAAAGGAAGAAAUAUAAUCUUUUUAUUUUUCUUUGUUGUCCUUUUUUUUUUAAAAGCUAUACAUAUAAUAUAAUAAAAUAUACACCUACGAAAAGCCUUCGGGCAAAACACUUUUAUCAUAUAAUAUAAUAUAAUAAAUAUAGAUAUAUAGAUAUAAAAGUGUUUUGGGCAGCAGAAAGACAGGUGAGAGAGAGACAAGAAGGAAAAGAAAGGAAGAAAGAAAGAAAGAAAAAGAAAAGGAAAGAAAAAGGAAAAGGAGGAGAAGGGUACUGGAGAAAAAUGCACAAAAGAAUAACAUAAAAGAAAGCCAUUCGGGCAAAUUGGAUGAAGCCCCUUGGCUACUCAAGUGUUAUUUUUCUCUCAACACUCAAAUCUUUUUCUCUUUUUAAAAUUGAGUGUAGAGAGAUCAAACCCACCAUUUAAAUUGGCCAUGCUAUGUAGCUUGGGAACCAUAGGAGGUGGCCAUUCAUGUUUGAUCCCAAGCUUUGUCCUCAUUGAGAUCUCGAUGCGGACAACAUGCUUGUGUUGGCGGGGAAGAUUAUAGGAGCUAUUUUCUUCUUCUUCGGGCUCCACAUGAGGUGUGGGCUCAUGCCCCCCGAGCGUUGGUGUUUGGCCUACAACGGCUUGGACUUCUACAACCAUAUCCAUUUUCAUGGAUUUUUCCUUGGGUGGGGCCAUUGUUUGGCCUUCAUCAACAUGUAUGAUCUGUUCUUCCUUGGUUGUAGUAGGGUGAGUGUGCUUUGUAGAGGGGAUUUGACACAUUUGAUCUAUCAACUUUCCCAAAGUUUCUCCAAAAGUUGUAUAGCUUUCCUCCACCUUUUUAAAACACUUAGUCAUCUCUUCACCAUAUUCGAUGCUUGCCACAUGGAGUUUUGACACCUUCUCUAAUUUGCCCACAUCCUCUUUGUAGAGCUCUUCAUCCGAAUGAUCAUGAGUUGGCAUCUUAUAUAUUGGCUUUAUGUACUUAUUGGAAGUCUUUUGAUACUCAAAGCCAUUUGUUGGCCUAUCAUAGUAUUCAUGAAUAUGAUUGUCUUCAAAAGAAUAAUAACCUUCAUCAUAACCAUAAGUUGGCCAAUCUGUAAGAUCAUUAUUUAUUUGAUGGCCAUUAGUUGGCCGACAAUCAUGUUCCAUGGGACUUGAGUACUUUUCAGCCAUGUACCCAUAAGUUGGCAACUCAUAGGUUGGCUCUAUGUGAUAGCCAUAGCUUGGGCGCUCUUCCACACCAUCAUCUUCCGAAAAAGCAGAAAAAUCAUGAACAUAAGGAUUGUUCAUGAUCUAACUCCAUAUAAGGAUCCCACCGGGCGUGCCAAAAUAUGUUCGCUCCCUAAAUCCGCCAUGGCGCCUUGCGGGCAAGCCGGGGAUUUACUUCACAUAUGAGAUUGGUGGGUGCGGGCGUGCCACUACUAGAUGCCGCUAGUAGACGGGAUUUGAGUGAUUGAGGUUGCGCCUGAAUUUGCCCGAAUCAAGAGAUUGUGUCAUUUGAGUGGGAGUUGCUCAAAUUAAGGUUCUUUGUUUGCCUUAAAAAUAAGGACUUUACUUAUAUGGAGAGAUAGAACAAUAUGUAAAUGACAAGGUUGCUUGGAAAUGUAACUGACAGAGGAAAGUGACUAAUAUUGCAGAUUGCUUGUAAUUUAUAUGACUGGAAAUGAGUACAUAAAAGCUACAAAUGAAAUCGAUACUACAAGUGAGUAGCAGAGCUAAUAAACUAGAGAAAAGAAGGCUUUUUGGUGAAGGUUGAUCCCGAAAGGGAUGAAGGCUUGGUGCUGACUACAGCUUCGUUUGAAGGCAAAUCUGGCUUGAGCAGAGUUUUGGCUUUUGUUUGUUUGUUUGAGUGUCCAUAAUCCUUGUGCAGCUGCUCCUUUUUAUAGAGGUCUGGAGGAAACCCUCCUGCUGAGGUUUUGUAUCUGCCCGAAAGAAGCUUGGGCAGCUUGUAUUUCAUUGCUUUAGACAGCUUGCAUGCUUUUCACUUGCCAACUUGCAUGGAGAAAUAAUAUUAAAAGGGGAACUUGCAUUUCCACCACAAGCUUUUAGCACAUGUUUUCCCACUUGUAAUAAACUAACAUUUAAAAGAAGCAAGUUGGCUUCUUUCACAUGUUCCUUGCCCGAAAGCUUGCUGAUGCUUUUCCAUCCACUUGCAAUACAUGCAUGUAUCUUGAUUAAACAAAUGCUAGACAAACCUCCACCACCCAAACAAAUAGGAGAAACAAUAUUAUAGUGUCCAACCCCUCCACUUGCAUCUAAAUAUCUUUCCAAGUUAGCUUUCUUGCAUAUUAAUCCUCCAAAUGUCAUAUUUUACCCAAAUUGCCCAAAUAAGUAAAAAUGGGUAUAUUUUGAGUGCAAACAACAUGUCAACCUCCUGUACCACUUGUUGGAUUGAACCGUCGGUAGUCUGAAGCCAGAUAUAAGACUUCAUCAUCUGAGAAUGAGUUGGCACCGAUGUGGCUUUAGAAUUCCAACAUUACAAAGUACACGAAAAAUAUAAAACAGUUAAACAACCCACCCACCUUCACCCCCUCCAAAUAAACAAAAACAAAAAGAGAGAACAAAUUAACACUCAACAAGUAGAGGCGGCUACAAGCAUUCAAAAGAAACGAAAAACAGAAAACAAUCGAUUCGACUAUGGCUUGAAGAACAAAGAAAAGAAAACAUAAUGCAUUUAUCUAUUAAACACUAGACAAAGACGACAUAACAUAGUGGAAAAAAAGGAAGAAGGGGCAUAAAAAGAAUCACGAAGAACGCGUACGGAAAAGUGAUAAUACCUCAGGUUCAAUAACAGUCAUGUCACCUUCUGACAUUUGAACAAUCCCAAGUUCUGAGGCUUAAAAACUGGAGUGCAUCAGGCAAAAGAAAACAGCUUUAUGCUUCUUUUGCAGCAACUUGCUGAUACCCUGUUAAGUCAAACAAAAUUAUAAUUAGCAGCCCUUCUAUGCAAAUCCUUACCCAAAAUUAAAGUUUACACAAAUUUAACAUAAACCCAAGUUAGCUAGGGCAGUAAACCACCCUUUGCAAUCCCCAAGCCGUCGUUUAGAUUAGAUUAGAAUAUCGCUUUCAAAACAUAAACCCAGCUCUUACUUGCCAUGAAACAAUACAAGUUCCAAUUUUUCCUAACAAAUCUAUACUUCAUACAUAUAUAUUUCCACUAAACUUAAUUCCAUUUAUUCCCAAGUACAUGAAAAAGCAUUCUGGUGAUUAUAUUGCCCUAAAUCAAGUGAGAAAAAUUGCAAUUCAUAGGUAUUUUAGCUGAAUUUCUCGAUUAAACUAACUGUUAUUACCAGUAAAUGAUUGUUUUUCCUAAAGAUUUUAGUUCACCGAGCUCCGGAUUAAAGGGUACUUGGCAAUUUCAUUUUUCUAUUCAAUCAUUUCCAUUUUCCCGCACUUUCUGGGCAACCAAACAGGCAUACAGAAGAGAAAAAAAACAUGGUAAAGAAAAGCAAAAGGACAGACAAUUAAUUAACACGAAGGAGACAUACGAAAUGUACGGAUUCCAGGUAGGGGGAGCUUUGAAUUGCAGAGAUUUGGCGGUUGUCGGCGAAUCCCCAAAAAUGGAUAAAAUUGCGAAUAAAAUUUAGGAAAAAAAAAGAAAAAGAAACUCUCGUGUGACUGAAGUUGCGUCAAAAAUCAAAAGGUCUGCAAAUCACACGUCAGCGUUUCGUUAGGGUUUCCUGACCUCUUGUAUUUAUUUUGAUUUGAUUGAUUAGUGUUGUUUGUUUGUACAAUUCCUGGUGCGGGCCCACCUUAACCAACGGAUCAUAUUGAUCAUCAAUGUGACCUGGUAAUUAGCAGGCUUUGAUUGAAAAUGGUUCUUAUCAAUGAGGCCCGUACUCCCCUUGUAUAGUUGGACACUGAAUAUUGAGUUAAACCUCGUUGCAGUGAGAGGUUUUUGUGUGAGGCCAUCGCUGUUGGUGAGUCAUUUGUGUUGUGCGCAAGGUCUAAAAUUAUUCGACAGCCUGCUGCUAUUAUCACCAACUAGGUGAUCAAAAGUACGUCCAGUACUCUAAAAUUAUACAUGAGCAUCACUCAUGUCAAUCAUGCAUAAACACUCAUGAGCAUCACUCAUGUCAAUCAUACAUAAACAUUCAUGAACAUCAUUCAUGUCAACAUUCAUGAGCAUCACUUAUGUCAACAUCCAUGAGCAUCACUCAUGUCAAUCAACAUAAACAUUCAUGAACAUCACUCAUGACAAUCAGCUUUGAAAGUUUCAUUUACAGAGCUCCAACUUCAAGAGCUCCAGCUUCAAAAACUUCAUUUACAAAGCUCCAGCUUCAAAAACUUCAUUUACAAAAGCUCCAGCUUCAAAGCUUCACCUACAAAGCUUCAGUGCAUGGUUUACAAAGAUCGCCUCCGAACAACUGCCACUUCGGUCCAUACAUGGAUUGAAUUUGAAGUCUCCAGCCAAUAGCCUCUAUUGACUGAAGACUUGGGGGACUGCACUCUGUACCAUAUAUUGGGCUUCCACAACUAGGUCUCAUGAAAAAUACUUUGGGACUCUAGUCCAUUAUUUAUGUACUGAGGAGCGAACCCUUAUUCUAUAAAAAGGACUCCCUUACUUUCAUUAGAGAGCACACAUUAUUCAUGUACUGAGGAGCGAACCCUUAUUCUAUAAAAGGGACUCCCUCACUUUCAUUAGAGAGCACUCAUUAUUCAUGUACUGAGGAGAGAGCCCUUAUUUUAUAAAAGGAACUCCCUCACCUUCAUUAGAGAGCAUCUCCACCUGUUGAGCAACCGCCUCGCCCCGAGCAUCAACUCUUAGCCCAUCACUUAUGUAUUAAAGAGCAAGCCCUUAUUCUAUAAAAGGGACUCCCUCACCAUCAUUAGAGAGCAUCGCCGCCUAUUGAGCAACCGCCUCGCCGCGAGCAUCAACUAUAGCCCAUCAUUUAUGUAUUGAUGAGCGAGCCCUUAUUCUAUAAAAGGGACUCCCACACCUUCAACGCCACAAGCGGAGCCAACCAAGGCAACAUAAGCCACAAGCAGGGCAACCUCGCAACAUGAGCUACUUUUAGUUGAGCAUCAUUUCAGAUUGGGCACCGCCUCAUAUCGAGUAUUAGUUCUAGGCGACAUCUAGUUACUUCGGCCCACACGUGGACUAAAUUUCAAGUCUCCAGCCAAAAGACUCUCUUGACUGAAGACUUGGGGAACUACUGUUUGUACCAUACUUAGGGUAUCCAUAUUUAGAUCUCGUAUAAAUACUCGGGAGACUCAAAUGUAAUUAUGUAAUAAAUGGAGGGGCAAAUAUGUAAUAAGUGAGGAGCCCUUAUUCUAUAAAAUGGCUUCUUCACCCUCACAAACCGAAAGCUCUCAUCCUCACAAACAGAGAGCUCUCUCAAACUCUCUCUUUCUUUGGGGGACUCCCCCUCACCCUUGUAAUCCAUACGUACAGUUAGAGAGAAAUACAAUCAACAUCAGUGUGGACGUAGCCCAAACAUUUGGGUGAACCACAAUACAUCUUGUGUUCUUUACUUUCUUGCAGAUUCACGGUUGGAUUUACGUUGUUCCAAGACCCCUCCGGUUUUGUGCAUCAAAAUAAAUCAUAAUUCCCAUUUACGAAAUUUCAUAAUCACCCUGGAAUUUUCACCACAAACACAAUACAAUUUAUGUAUGUAUUUCACAUAUAAAACAUGAAUGCCACUUCAUUCACAAAAUAUGAAUUAAUACAACCACAAUGCAUUCCACAAUCCAUAUAACAAGAACUCAAGAAUAUUGCAUAUUGUAGAACAUGAUCAUUUGCUCUGAUACCAUUAAAGUUGUCACGCCCGAUCCCGACAUAUGUCCAAGAUCGAUACGUGACGUUACAAAAUACCCAUAUCACUCACACACCCCGCUUCUAGGAUAUGGACAAUGCACAACUCAAGAUUCAAAUUUCAUGAUAAUUUUUCUUAUACUUUAUGGUUGCAUCUAACCUCCUCGUUAGACUGUUUACGUACCCUCAAUAGGGAUCAAGCCAUUCGUAGUUCAACUUCGCUAUAACUCGACAUAUAACACAGUAUGUUCAAGCCAAAAUGCAUAACAUUCCUCAAUCAAACAUUUGGACUUGACAAGCAUGAAUUAUUCGAUUCAAACUACAUAACAACCCGCAUGACAAUCAAGGUUUCUAUUUCAUCCAUCAUAUAAAUCAUUAUGUUUCAACAUAAAAUUGCUAUUCAUAUCAUGUAAUAUAUCAAAGAAUCAACACAGCACAAUAGUAUCCUCUAGUCGCAUUAAUCAUUGAUCUAAUCAUAUUAAUAACAAUCAUAUUCAACAUCCUUCCACAAUCAUCUCAAGUAACCCAUUCCAUGAUAUCAAGGAGGCACGAUAUUAACAUUUAAUUAUGUUAAUCAAUCAAUCAAUCAAAUCACACCUCAAUGCACAAAAUUAAUAAAGGACUUCUACAUAGUUCUCUGCCUGGAUUUCAAGUAAUAACUUGAUAAUUCUAAUUUAUAUUCACAAGAUAUAUUAUGGGUACAUCCCAUUCAAUCGAAUCCAGGGAACAAGUCUAACUUAAGGAAAAGAGCAAAAGUAGGGAUAACGGACCACUCAACGUAAUCCAAAUCAGGAUACGAUUCCGAACCAUCACUCAAUGGAAUUGCGGAGUAGAAAGGAUUUUGGACCAUCUCUCAACGGAAUCUGAGUGGAUACGAUUCUGGACCAUCACUCAGCGGAAUCGCGGAGUACAAUGCAUAACAACCACUAAAUGAAACCCAAGUUGGAUACGAUUCCGGACCAUCACUCGACGGAAUCGCAAAAUAGAAGGGAUUCCGGACCAUCACUCAACGGAAUCCAAACAAGCAUAUGAUUCUCCCAUCAAAUGUACCAAGUACAACUAAUCCUCCUCACUUUUAGAAUGCAUAUGGUCCCCCAACGCGGAUUAACCAAGUAGGUAGUGACUCCCCAAAGUGUAUUAACCAAGCAGAGUCAUACCUACAAAACUGUUAGGCAAUGAUCACCUUAUGCGGAUUAACCAAGCAUGAUCACCCCUAAGUAUAAAUGGCCAUAAGGAUCACCCAACGCGGAUUAACCAAGCACGAUCCAUAAAUAGUAUGGUCCGCCAACGCGGAUAAACCAAGCAAGACCAGCCAUGCACCACGUCUACAUAGUGCAGUCUCAUCAUCACACCUUAUACAUAAUUAUACGCAUACAUACUAUCGAUUCCGCAUAUCAACCAGCAUUCAGUCAUAUGGAGCACAACACAAGGAAUUCCCUCAAUUACUAAUUCUACUAAAAAUCUAAUAAAGUACCUAACUCAUCUCCUGACUUUCAUCUCCAUCUCAUGCUAGGUAAUAGUGCAAAGUUCAAAUAAGUAUUCAGUUGGCAAUCAUAUCCAAAUAAUUAUCAAACAAUAUUUAGAUCCCAUAAUUGUCAUAACAUUCUUCAUAAUUAUCAUUCACAUUAUUAAAAGUUAAUUAAACACAUAUCUAUCACAAACAUCAUCAAUACACAAGCCAAAUCAUAUUUAAUUAGCAUAGGUCUAUGGCCAAAUAUAUAAAAUUCACAUUUCAAUAGAAAUCAUAUUUAUAAGACCAAUUCAUAUUCACAAAUGAUACUAAUAGUAGAAAUUAAGAUAAUAAUCAUAUUUCAUAUAUUCAAGUCGCUAUCUAACCAAUGUAGGCCCACUAGACUUCACUUAGUCCCUCAUGAUACUAAUUUUAGUAAUUAGGACGUUUCGAGACAUGUUGAUCAAAAGUCAACUUUUGGUCAAAGGUAGGGUCCACAAUUCUACACAAUUCAAUCCGGAAGAUCCACACCUUGGAUUUCGGAUAUGUAACUUUCCAAAGUCCACAUUAUGCUCAAAUAACAACAUGCUAAAAUCUUAACACGAUCCGACGAUUGGAUCUCCGCCAAUUAAAUUCAAGUGGCGAUCGACAUUUAAUUUUACAAACUUAGAAAUCCAAUUAGGGAAGAUCUGUAUGUCGGAUUCUCGAUCCGUAAGUUUCUAUGAUCCAAAAAUAUUAUGUUCUAUCACACAUUAAGAUUUGGUGACAAUCCAACGGUCGGAUCGUCGAAUCAUAUUUUUGACCUAACCACGUAUCGUAAUGAAAUUAGGUUCAAACAAUCAAAUCAUAUAAUAAGGAUAUCAAUUAUGAAAUCAGGGCAUCUAAUUGAACUUAAAAGGACAUCAUCGGCCCACUGGCCAGGCCGCCGCAGCACACGCCGUCGCGGGUGGCGGUCGGCCACCCCGACUUGUCGGAAAAUUCAACUAUUUUUAAAAAUUACUAAAAAUUAUAGAAAUGAAGAUCUCAAAGAGUAAAAAACUUUAUACCUAUGGCCAAGUUCAAUUUGGCCGGGAAACACUUCAAUUUCACUCAAACCCGCCGAAACCCUAGAAAAGGGUGUGCUUUGAUUCGGCUUCCAAUCGAACUCCGACGCCUCCAACACUACUUGAGCUUUGUUCCUGGGGUUGAGAGAAGUCUUUUGGUGGUGGUCAUGGAUGGUGAAACUUGUCGGAGCCACCGGGAAAAGGGAUAAAGCUGCCGGAACACCCGUGGGUUUGUGGCUUCGAACUGGAAAAAUGGGAAGGAAAUUGUGAAAUCUAACACUACCAGGAUGUAGGGCUCAUCAAAGGCUUUCCAUGGACACCAAGAUCACCCAAAACGGAGUUCGUAUGAAUAAGAUAUGGCCGGGUCAAAAAUGGUGGUUCGUAGGUCAAAAAAUGACCCAUUUCAGGUCCCUACUUUCCCCUCCUUCUCCUUCUCCUGAUUGGGCAGCUCCUAACCUUUUAAAAAUCUGAUUGGUUCCCUCCCUCUUCUAAUUGAUUGGUCCCUUAAUCCAAAUAUCUGAUUAGGCCUCUUUCCCAUAAAGUGGGAGUCUAAAUAAUUCCUAAAUUCUAUAGUAUCCCAACUUCAAACGCCCGUAACUAUAUCGUUAUAACCCGAACUCGUAAACGGCUUUUGCCUAUGCGUUCGUGAUCUCUAAAUCUAAUCAACAAUAUAAAUUGUGACCUUGAAUGGUCUACGGAUUUUAAAUAAUUAAUUUCCCAAAAAAUAAUAUAAAAACUCAAUAAUACCAAUACUUAGAUUAUAAUAAUGAAAUCCAGGAAUGGGAUUUCACAAUUUAUAUGUCUGUUCCUCCUGGUCUUCGGCGACAGUGGGAGAAUCUUGUGUGUCGCCUUCACAAGUCUCUUUAUGGUCUCAAGCAGGCUUCUCGCCAAUGGUUUGCCAAAUUCACUACUGCCAUUCUUUCCGCUGGCUUUCAACAAUCCAAAGUUGACUAUUCAUUGUUCACUAAAAAGUCUGGUACUUCUUUUACAGCCUUGCUCAUUUAUGUGUAUGAUAUUGUGAUUACAGGCAACGAUGUUUGUGCAAUUGAUUCUCUGAAGUCUUUUCUCCGUGAUCAUUUUCGGAUUAAAGACCUUGGUGAUUUAAAAUAUUUUUUGGGCAUUGAGGUUUCUCGUUCCAAACAAGGGAUUUAUAUUUCACAGCGCAAGUAUGCAUUAGAGAUUCUCAAGGAUUAUGAUUUUUUUUUAGCACAACCCAUUACUUUCCCUAUGGACGACACAAAAUUCUCUGAUAAGGGAGAACUUCUCAAGGAUCCUGAAAAGUAUCGCUGAUUAGUAGGACGGUUGAUCUAUCUCACAUAACUCGGUCGGACAUCACCUAUUAUGUGCAUGUUCUGAGUCGUUUUAUGCAUGAGCCAAGGAUACCUCAUAUGGAUGUUGCGCUUCGUGUUGUUCGUUAUUUGAAGGCUACUCCAGGUCAAGGCUUAUUAUUCCGUUCUGACAACCAAACCAAGUUAACUGCAUUUUGUGACUCUGAUUGAACAGGUUGUCCUAUCACUUGCCAUUCGACUACUGGGUAUUGUGUAUUCUUGGGCAAUUCUUUGGUUUCGUGGCGGGCAAAACGACAGGAAACUGUUUCACUUUCUUCAUCAGAAGCAGAAUAUAAGGCUAUGGCAAGUGCUUGUUGUGAGUUAAUUUGGCUUCGGUUUCUAUUGAAAGACUUGAACAUUCCUUUCGAUGGUCCUUCCGUUUUAUUUUGUGAUAAUCAAGCAGCAUUACAUAUAGCAGCUAAUCCUGUUUUUCAUGAGCGGACUCAUCACAUUGAGAUGGAUUGUCACUUUAUACGAGAUAAGAUUGCAGAUGGCACUAUAGAAACCAAGUAUGUUGGUACGGCACACCAGUUGGCGGAUUUGUUUACCAAGCCUCUCGGGAAAGACAAGUUUUCGAGUAUGUUACGCAAGUUGGGAGUUCUUGACAUCCACUCUCCAACUUGAGGGGGGGUGCUAGACAAGUAGAAACGUAGUUGGAAUCUAUGUAUAAUUGUAAUCCUAGUUAUAGUUGUAUUCCUAACUUGUGGGAUAAUUUCUUGCUGACCAAGUUAUGUAAUUGUAUAUAUUUGUGUUUCACGUAUCAAUGAAAUGCGCUUCAAACCCAUAUAUCUUUUUCUACAUAUUUUAAAUUGCAUACAAGCAAGCUUCCGCCAUUUAAUUGUUGAAAGUAUGCCAUUUCUUGCUUAAUGAACUUAGAUUUUCAUAAAUUUUCCUUCAGUUAUAUGGAUCCCCAAGCCUUCCGGCAGAAAUUCAGCAAUAAUAAACCUGGGUUUUGGUCACAUUCGCUAUUGAAGAUAAACCAACUUCGACAACCCGCUGCAGCGCAACCCACGAGGUCACCCACCUUCAGCCCUCGCGGUUUGAAGUUUCGAUCGCCACGAUGCCAGCCUUAUUCCACAAUAGCAGCAGCACUCCAGAGACCCGUCGCUGCAACCCAUGAAGCUUCAACCCGCGGUUCGUACCACCAGACCCCAGCCGCAACCACAUUUGAAUCCCUCGGCAGCCGUCCCCCGAGCACAGCUUUCCCCGCGACGCAACUGCAGCUCAACCCACGACCAGUUUCGGUCACGAGCUUCGAGUUCAACCUUUGGUGGUCUCGCGUUUCCCAGAUCUUCAGUCAUGAACAAACGAUGGUCUUUGUGCAGCCCGAAAAGGCGGAGAUCGACGAGGAUAAGGAAAGAAAUGGAUGAAGGGAUAAGGAAGGAAAGAGAGAGUUGUGUGGCUGUGCGACCGUUUGGAUGAGAGAGACGGAAACAACAAUAGAAAAGGCGCUGGCUGCUGCAACAAGAAGGCUGGGUCCAAACUUGAGCCUAGUGGCCGUCCAGCACAAAAGGGAGAAGGUGCUGCAAUGGUUAAGCGGCGUGGGCCUCCUCUCCUCUUGGCCUUGAGCUAUUAAAAAUAAAAAAUAAAAAUCAGGGAGGCAACAAAGAAAUUGAAUAAAACAAAGAUAUGUGGCCUUAUAAAAGAAGGCUCAAAUGUACACCAGAAGAAGGAAGGCAGAGAAUUUUUGAAAUUUGUGUUCCUUCGGUGACUCGGGAAAUUAAGACACCUUCUUUAGCAACUCUCCUUAUUCGGAGAUUUCGACAGACUCCACUAUAUGCUACUACAUUUCGAUAGUCAUAAGUUUCGUAAUUACUCAAUGACUUGGAUUUUGUAAGUCCCAACUAAUAAACUUUCCUCACUCGAGAACUUGGGAGAGAACUAUUUGUAUUAUACUUGACCAAUCCUGAAACUAUCGUGCAUUGGUCAACUUCCUACCUUCAAGGACCCACUGAAGGGUUCGUGCUGAGGCACUCCUGCCGAAGCACAAGAGUUUCUCUCCAAUUAGAAUGCCAAUUUAGUUCCUGAAUUAUCACAUGAGUGAAAAUUAGGUCCCUAACUUCUUCUUUUUUCAGAAAAAUUAGUCUUUGAAUUAUAAAACUCGGUCAAUUACAUCCCUAAUAUUAGAUUUGAAGCUACGAUAUUCAAUUUUCCAUCAACUUAAGUCAUGGUACAUGCAUGUGAUACACAUUUGAGGGUAGAUUGGUAAUUUUACAUAAAGAAUAGUGUUUGGUAAUUUUACUUAAGUUGAUGAAAAUUGAAUAAAAAAAGCUUUGAAUAUAAUAGUAGAGAUGAAAUUAGUAAUUAACCGAAAAAUAAUUCAAGCACCUAAUUUUUACUAAGAUAACAAUUCAGGGACAUUUUAUCCUAAAUCAAUUGCAUCUUUUGGGUUUCUCACCACUCCUUGAAACAUCAAUUCAUUUAUGCACUUCCAAAUUCUCCAAAGAACAAAAACCACCUCCUACAUAAUCUCCUCUCUCCGCUGCUCAUCCUUACAUCGCAUACCAAUAUACUCCAACACGCACGAAAAUCAAUCCCCACAAACGCCGUUGCAUCCAGUUGUAAUGAGCAGCAAUACCAAAUGACACGACUAAAUUUACACCCAAAAAAUAGGUGUUCUUCCAUUUCCUCAGCACACCCACAAAGGACACAUGAAUUGUCCACUCUCAUCCUCCUACGAAUUAGAUUGCACCGAACAGCCAUAGAGUUGUUACAACACCUCCAAAUAAAAAAAACUUCAUUUAUUUGGCACAUGUAAUCUCCAUAUAUUCGGAUUAUUGUUUAAGUGUCGAUUAACGUGUUUAUUUCUUAUUGGUGACACAUAAUUUGGUUUGAAAUUGACUUAUAAAUUUGGUUAAUCUAGCAUUACUCACUAGACACAGUCAGACUCAUUCACAAUCUAACAAAUGUCCCUAACUUAAGCCAUUUGUCUCCCCAAUAUACUUGGGUGUAGAAAACUGAUUAUAGCAGUAUGCUUCUAUUGAACUUGAACUCAAUGUUCUAAACCUUCUUCCCAUAAUUUAGAUUAGAUUAGAAUAUUGCUCAAAUUAGAAAAUUUAGAUUAGAUUAGAAUAUUGCUCAAAUUAACAUUCUUCCCAUAAUUUAGAUUAGAUUAGAAUAUUGCUCAAAUUAGAAAAUUUAGAUUAGAUUAGAAUAUUGCUCAAAUUAGAAAAGCUAGAUGUAGCCCCAAACUUAAUCCGCAUGAUGAACAUGCAAAGUAUGAUUACGUUGUAAACACUUAUUUAAAUAAUAUUGAUCAUUCUUGCUAUAAUAUCUCACCUACUGAAGCGUGCACAUUGCCUCGCUUUUAAAAAUAUUAACUUUCAUCCAGAUUUAGUGGUUGACUAGAAAGGAUAAUACUUUCGAAAGUUGUUGCUUUAAUAAAAUUAUUUUACACUAAGAUUUCCACACCUUGGUGAAUCAAAAAAGUAGUUUGGCGGAAAGCAAAUUUUUUAAUCAAAAAAGUAGUUUGGCGGAAAGCAAAUUUGUUAAACACUCGCCUUUGUUUUGGUUGCUUGUAUUUUAUCAAAACUUAGUGGGUGGGCAAUGCAUAAUUCAAUAUUAUAAUGCAUAUAGAUUAUUGGGCGAACUAGAAAAAGCAGUAAAUUAGGUGGAAAGAAAAUUUGUUAAGGACUCACCUAUAUCUGGUGCAUAAAAAAACCUCAUUUUAUCAAUCAUGUUGUCUAGUGAAAUUAUUGUAUAGCUUAGUGCUUGAUGUAGUUUAUCAAGUGGAAUUAUUCUGCUUUCGUAGCUGAUUGUGCUUCUUCUUGGUCUUAAUUUGACUCUAAUGAACAUGGUUGAACUUGAAGGAAUGUACAGCUUCAAAGUGCUUUACCCUAGGAUUUCAGUACCUUGAUGAAUAAAAAAAAUAGUUUGUUGGAAAGCAAAUUAGGUAAAGACUCACCUAUAUGUGGUGCAUCAAAAAGUUUCAAUUUAUCAAUUAUAAUGUCUACUGAAUUAUUGUAUAGCGGGCAUUUCUAAUGGGGACGCUAAAUGGUGUCUCCACAACCUUAUAGCCUCUAAAUAUAUGGACAAAGGGUUUUCAAUAGGCUUCUAAUGAGCUGGACUAAAGGUUGUUACAGUAUCCUAGUGUAUAGAGACUCGCCGGAUACCUCAAAAAAAAUCUCAAAUGUAAAGACCGCAUAGGGACUCAAAUAGUACGCCCAAAUGUUGAUUUUGAGUGGGAAACAAACCUCACCCACGUGAUAAUGUUGCACAGAAGCUUCUCUCACCACCAAACUGACGCAACAUCACUCAUGGACCCUUACCGCACUUGUGUCAUUUUCUUUUCUUUUCUUUUUUUUUUGUUGAACCAUUGAGAAACCAACGGUUGAGUUUUUUUUUUUUUUUUUUUUUCUUGUUUUUAUUAGCAACCACAAUACUCUAACGAAAUUAACAAUGAUUUUUUUUUAAUAUUUUAGUCCCUACAUUUAAAGAUUCUAUUAUAAGGUCUCCCAUUGAAGAUGCUCUUGGUACUCGAUGAACUUUAUCAAGUGGAAUUACUUUGCUUUCCUUAGUAAUUGUACUUGGUCUUAAUUUGACUCUAAUGAACAUGGUUGAACGUACUGCUUUUAUUACUACACAUGAAUCCCUGCAUUGGAUGCAUUGAGAAGAUUUUACAUCAGUGUGGGGAUCAGGUUUGUUGUUGAAUUUUGGGAUGUUUGUGGCACAUUGAUAUUCAACAGGUCAUGGAGAUAUUCAUACUUCAAGUACUGCAAUGUUGUAAACGAUGGGGUUUAGGAAAGGGUGGAGUUGACAGAUAAUACUUUGAUGUUGUUUUUGUGGAUGCAAAUUUCUUCCUCCUUGAUUUUGGACAAAAUUGCACCUACAAAACAAUUAACAUCUUAGGUCAAGGCCAAGAGCCUCAAGGGCCCAUGAUGAAUGGGGGGCUUUGGCCGAAGAACCUCCGAUGCCAAAGUUAGAAUUUAGAGAGAAAAAGUGUUUGAGAAUUCUAGAGAAUUUUAGCAAGAGUUGGAACUAGUUUUUGGGAGAGAAUGGUGAGCUAUAUAUAGGGAUACGGGCGGCCCUAUUAGGAGAAUAGAGACCGGUCAUUUAGGUAUUUUUGGUUGUAAAUUGUGGUUGAUUAGCCAUUAAUAGUUUAAUUAGGCAAUAAAUCUAUUAAUGGACUAAUUGACAUAUUUUGAAAGAAAUUAUUUGGGGAGUUAUGGAAUGAUUAAAAUAAUUAGCUAAUUGAUUAGCUAAAAAUGGAAAAAUGAGGUAGAAAAUAUAUGGAAUGAAAUAGGUUUUGGGAGUUACCUUGUAGAAGGGAUUUGAUGAGAUAGGUUUUGAAUUGUUACCUAUUUUGGGCACUUUUGAUUUAGUUGAAGGAUGAUUGCUCGCUGCUCGUGCAUAGGAAUCUCGUUGUACCUCAAGGGUAUUUUUAUCCUCUUUUAUCCAAAAAUCCACGUGUCGCAUUAUGAUUACUUUUGGCUCCACAGUUUUAGCAGCAUCUUUUUGGCUCAUGCAUAUCUUGGUGACACUCCUGCAUCUACCAUUCAGUUGGAGACGGAGAUUGGUGACUGCACUUUUAAAAUUAUGACGGACAACUACUAGUGUACUUAACUUGUAUUUGAUUUUGUGGCCUUGUCUCAAUGUCGACAAUUUGCGCACUAUAUUUUUACUUUUGAGGAAGCAGCAUAUGAAAGAUUCAUGCCAAAGGGUAAGGCAAAUACAUGUAAAAAUAUGAAGACAAAAAAUCACUAAUUCAAGUCAAUACAUUUUCUAUUUGCAUUGUAGAAAUUUUGAUUUUGUUCAUCACUUAUUGUCUCCUCUUGUAUGAAAAAGUUGUUCUUUCUAAUACCAUGGAAUUUUUUAUUUUGCAUUGUGAAAAUUUUGAUUUUGUUCCGCUUUUUACCGUGAAUUCGGCAACUAUUUUCGUCGAGUGAAGUAUUGUCACGUCCUGGACUCGAAAUGAGUGAAAGAAAUGAUCUCGGGCCCGUGUGUGAAUAAAAAUAAAAUAAAUAAAAAGAAACUAAAACAGGUUUGAAAACUAGCUCAUUUAAAAAUGAUGCAGAAGAAUAAAUAGGCUGGUAAGCUGAAAUGAAUGGAAAAUUGAUUUAUUUAAUAUACGAGUCAACUACACAAUAAAUCAGAAUUUACUAAAAUACAAUAAUCACCAUUCAACUUCACGUAAAUUUCACGAAUCCCUUAAUUCUCUAAAUUGAUUUGCAGCCUUAGAUGCUUGGAUUCGACUCCCUGAUCACUGAUGUGAAAAUUGUACUGUAAUCCGACUUAACUCAAGUUAUGAAAAUACAGUAAAGAAGUUGGAAGGCUACAAAGUUCCCUCUGUCUCACUUUCCUUCUUUUUCUUCGGAUCUGAAAACUAGGAAAACAAAUGUUGUUUUCCUCUUCAUUCUUUUCUCUUUCUUUGUGGUCCAAUCAAAAUCCUUCAUAUGUGACCCCAUGUCAUCCUUCAUAUGUGGCUAGCUAUCAAUUUGUCACGUGGCCAAGUCAACCAUUUGUCGUUGCCAAAUGUCAAUCAUUUGGUCAUCCUCUAAACUAACAAAUAUUCCGAAAGAUACUAUCAUAUCACCACUAGUUUCAUCCUACUAUUUCCGGAUCAUCAAUUGUUCUCAAUCAAAAUAAUAUUUUUUUCCGAUAUCUUAGUCGUCCGAAAUAACGACUACUUGUGAAACAUUAAUAAUUUCAGGGUUUCACAACCUUCAUCUACUCUUCACGAUCUUCAAGUUGGUAUACUUUGUUCCUGCAUUAAUAGUCGUUUUGGAGUCGGAUGUUUAGAAACCUAUAAAGCUGGUUUUGGCCGGUGAUUUUGGUCAGUUGCCGUCUAGAAUUGAUUGUCGUGAUAGUUAUAAAAGUUAAUCCUUAUGUUGAGUUCUAUAUGCCUGUACAAUUUGGUGUGUCAGAAAAUUGGGUUUCUAGUUUCAUAAUCAUAUCAACACUAAAUCAGGCCCAGAAAGGUGGCGUUAGAAAAAUCUGUAUGUCCCUCAAAACUUGUAGAAGGAACCUUCCUUAAAAAUCACCAUCUUGACCGGCUUAUAGAACAACUAAGCCCAAAAUUUCAAACUGACAGCACUGCGCAGUCAACCUUCUUUUCUUUGCUACAGUCAAAUGGCAUGGAAUAAAAAUCUUGAAUUUUUACACUAUUAACUUGAAAGAUCACAAACACACAUAAUUACUUCAAAUUCCUUUUUUUGAUAACUUUUUUCCCUACAAACGAAAUAUAGAAUAAAGUAUUAAAAUUAUACCAAAAUAGUUAAUAAAUUAUAUCUAAGACUAUGGUAAAAAUAUAGAAUAAUGUUGACUCAUCAGCAAGUAUUGAAAUAAUAGUUUAACACAUUUUUAUUUGGCCUAUCGAUUCACCAAACAUAUACAUACACAUAACUAGAGACAGCAAGAGAGAGAAUAGUGGGAAUCAUUCAUCCCACAGUCCCACGCAUGGAUUCUCCCCAAUUCAACGAAAGUCCUCUUCCUUAUGUACACAAAAUAACAACAAACACGUUUUUGAGUAAUUAUAUAUCUGCCUGCCCCUUUUACUUUUGACUUUAAAGAAAGCGGCCCAUGCGAUGUACGAUUCAUGCCUAACUCUAAAGGCAAAUACAUUAUUCUAACAAACUAUUAAAACUUAAUAGAGGUAAUUUGGAUUUCAGAGAAUUUUAAUGGAUUUUUUUUAAGUGAUAAAUUUGAAAAAAAUUUAAUAGAUUCAUAAUUUUACGUGGAUUUUGACAAAUGUAUAUGGAUUCCUAUUAUAGAUUUUUAUGGAUUUGAAUGGAUUUCUUUCAUGGAUUUCUUAGGAUGCUAGUUGACUCCUACAACAUAAAAUGAAUUUCUUUCGAGUACACAAUAUGAAAAGAACAUAAACUGAAAGGAACAUAAACAUAUAUCUAUUGAUAUAGAAUACAAACCAAUCAAAUAUGUAAAUAGAAUGGGUCAUUGAGAAUAUUGAUCCAAGAGUUUGAAUAAUUGUAAAUGAUAGCUUCUGCUUUAGAACAUCAUAUCCAUUCAAGAAUGAUGAUUUCAAGUUUAAGAACAGGAUAUCCAAUCAUGAAUAAUAAUAUAUGUGAAAGAAUAUCAAAUGACAAUCGAAAUUGAGUAGGGACAUAUUUGGGCUGCAAAAUCCUGGGAUAAAAACAUUUUAACCAUGACAAAAAAAAAAAAAAACAUUUGAACUCAAACAAAAACAUGGUCACUAAUUUGCGGGAAAAAAAGGCUUAAAUCAAAAGUGCAAAUGGGAAAAGCCCAACUUAGAAAAAUCAGAAGUGCAAAUGAGAGAAUCUCAAUUCGGAAAAAGCACGAGUAUGAAGCAAAACAACAUACAACUAUAAUCCAAAUUAAAAAAAAAAAAAAUCAUGGUCCAAUUGUUACUCAUCUUCCCAGAGGAACAAACCAAGAGCAUGAAUUCAGAAAAAUACAUAAACAAUGCGAAAAACGGGGAGUCUACCGGGAAAUGCUCUAAAGUCUAAACUCAUGGUAGGAUUGUCCACUUUCUACUGUUUGGUGUGAAAAGAAAUCUUAGGGGGAGGGUAGGAUUGUCGAUACCAUUUGGGUAUUUAGAUCACCCACUCUCAAAUCCAUUAAAAUCCUUCAUUCACAAAAAUUCUAACAAAUGUUUGACAUUUCCACUACAUCUAGAUUUGUAUGGACUUUUAAAACUUUUGAUUGACUACCCAUGAAUUUGGAUAUAUUUUUUAAAUCCUCCUAAAUCUUAAUUUGACUACACCAUGAUUUUAAAAUCUUUUAAAAUCCACAUUUAAACUCCUAAUUGACUACACGCUGAUUUUAAAGUUUAUUAAAAUACUACUAAAUCCUAGUUUGACUACAUCCGAUUAGUUUCCCAACCAACAUUUAUUCACACCCAACACAUUACACUGUCAGGUGUUUUUCCAUACCACGAGUCCUGACCAUUUGAACUACACUUGCAGCUUUCCUUUUGCUCCUAAAUCAAAAUCCUGAAUCCACAGUUUUUCUUCUUCCUUCUUCAAUUGUCUUUUGGUUGAUUUAGUUCAAUUAAGAUGGAGGGUGACGGAAUCAAGUGCUUGAACAAACUCUGUCGUGCUUUAAUUGGGGUGCUAAUUUUACUACAAUGUGUUGUCAACCCUUCCCAUUCCCUUGGAUUCAAUAAUAUUUCUUCAGGAGGAGUGACGAGGUGCUUUGAGAGGGAAAGAGAAGCACUCCUUGCUUUCAAACAAGGCCUCGUGGAUCACUACAAUCUCCUCUCUUCGUGGGGAAGAGAAGAUCACAAGCAAGAUUGUUGCAAAUGGGUAGACGUCCACUGCAGCAACCGAACCAACCAUGUUACUCAACUUCAUCUUGGACGGGAAAGUCUCGUGCAUGUCGUACAGCGUGUCCCGCCUCCCCCGGUUCUCAGGGAUGAAACCAGAAAUUUAACUAAGAGGGGGCACCUUAAAAAAUUUGAGCUCAUUUUUUUGACAAAUAAAGUUAGUUCUUUUACAAAUGUUGAAAAAAUUAAUUACAAAAUGCCUAAUUUUAUUACUCUAUUGUCUAAUUUUGUUUUUAAUUGUUGACAAUGUAAUGCUCAUUUGUACUAAUUAACCAAAUACAUGUAACUCAAUAAGGUUUAGACAUUAGUGUGUGAAAAAAAUAUACAAGACGGAUGAGCAUUUGAAAACUAAAAAAAGAUUUUCACUAUUUUAAUAUAAUUAAUUGAAUAAUCUGCCAAGCAAAAAAAAUAGGAAUGAUUAAUUGAAUAAUUUGUCCUGAGAGACCACGUGUCGUGAGCCGUUCCUGCUGCGACUCAGCGCUUUGUUCGCAGAGAUGAGCGAUAGGAUCGUCCCCGUGGCGGUCGACUGUAAGCAGAGCAUGUUCUACGGGACCACCGUCCGUGGGGUCAAGUUCUGGGACCCCUACUUCUUCAUGAACCCGAGGCCGACGUACGAGGCCACGUUUCUGGACCGGCAGCCGGACGACAAGUUUCUAAUUCCACAAAAUACAAAAAGACUUAAAAAAUGUAAACAGAAUGAAACAAUCAACGCGGAAUUGUGUUGAUUGUUGCAGGCUUUGUCAUUAUUUUGGAGAGAAGAGUCAACGUCUAAUUACUACACCUACCUACAGAAAAGUAGGUGGUCCACUCACACAUGUUCCAUACUUGACCAUCUGAAUCAAGACAACUCAGUGUGUGGAUCGUAUUGUGAACUAUUACGUAGUCACCCAGCCUUAUAAUACACUCGCAUCUUUCCUUGUGCUCCUAAAUCAAUACUGAUUGUACACUUCUUCUUCUUCAUUCUUCAAUCAUCUUUGCCUUGAUUUUGUUGAAUUAAGAUGGAGAAUGACGGAAUCAGGUGCUUGAAGAAACUCUUUCACACUUCCAUUGUGGUUCUACUUUUUCUACAAUGUUUCAACCCUUCCCUAUCCUCUGGAUUCUAUAAUGUUUCUUUCGGUUUCGGAGCAAUUGGCCACCGGGUGGUGACGAGGUGCAUAGAGAGUGAAGGGGAAGCACUCCUUUCUUUCAAACAAGGUCUGAUUGAUGACUACAAUCUCCUCUCCUCCUGGGGAAGAGAAGAACACAAGCAAGAUUGUUGCAAAUGGCUUGGCAUCCACUGCAGCAACCGAACCAACCAUGUUGCUCAACUUGAUCUUGGAUGGAAUCAUAUGAAUGAAGUUUACUCACUUCAACAGAAAGAACAGCAGGAGUAUCCCGAAUAUUACUUUCAAGGUAAAAUGAUGAGUCCUAAACUAAUUGAGUUGAAGCAUUUGAAAUAUUUGGACUUUUCUUCCGUUAACUUCACUGGGACCCAGCUUCCAGAUUUCAUUGGUUCUCUUUCCAAUUUAAGACACCUCGGUCUCUGGGAUGCUUCUUUUGGUGGUCGAAUUCCAACUCAGAUCGGAAACCUUACCCACUUGCAAUAUCUUGAUCUCAGAUCCAAUCACUUUGCUAAUAUAGAAAACCUGAAUUCAUGGUUGCCUCGUCUUUCUUCUUUAAUAUAUUUGGACCUGAGUUUCAACAAUCUUAGUAAUGUUCCUGACUGGUUGGAAAUAGUUAGUAAGCUCCCUAAACUUACAAACUUGUCUCUGUCUUCUUGCAGUCUUCCAUCUCCUCUAAUUCAUUCCAGUACUCUUUUUAACAUAAAUUCUUCUAAAUCUCUUGCUCAUGUUGAUCUCAGUUACAACCAACUCACAUCUUCUUCCAUAUUUCUUUGGUUGUCCAAAUACAAUGCCAGCCUUGUUCAUCUUGAUCUCAAAUACAAUAACUUUGCUAAUGUAGAAAAUCUGAAUUCAUGGCUGCCUCAUCUUUCUGCUUUAACAUAUUUGGACCUGAGUUACAGCAAUCUCAGUAAUGUUCCUGACUGGAUGGAAGCAGUUAAUAAGCAUCCUAAACUUACAAACUUGUCUCUGUCUAAUUGUGGUCUUCCUUCUCCUCUAAUUCAUUCCAGUACUCUUUUUAACAUAAAUUCUUCUAAAUCUCUUGCUCAUGUUGAUCUCAGUUACAACCAACUCACUUCUUCCAUAUUUCUUUGGUUGUCCAAAUAUAAUUCCAGCCUUGUUCAUCUUGACCUCUCUUACAACCAGUUAACUGGCUUAUUUCCCGAUGUCAUUGGAAACAUGAGCUCUCUUGCAUAUCUAGAUCUCUCUUCUAACCAAUUUGAAGGGGUGAUUUCAGAAAGUCAUUUCUCGGGUCUCUCCAGAUUAAGAUCUUUGUAUCUGUCCUCUACCUCACUAACUUUAAACUUCCAUUCUAAAUGGGUUCCUCCCUUCCAAUUGGAUUAUAUAAUCUUGGGGUCUUGCAAGAUGGGUCCACAUUUUCCAAAUUGGCUUCAAACUCAGAAAAGUUAUUGGAGCCUUGAUAUUUCUAAUGCAGGAAUUUCUGAUAUCCUUCCAAGUUGGUUUUGGGAAAGGCUGUCUCAUGCUCGUGAAAUUGGUUAUGUAGAUCUCUCCAACAACCAAAUCAGAGGAACAAUUCCAAACUCGCAAAUCAAUUUUGUAUGUUUCUCUCGUCAACUAAAUUUGAGUUGGAACCAAUUGGAAGGUCAAGUCCCUCCUUUCCUAUUGAAAGCCUCGUCAUCCCUCUUUCUCUCCCACAAUAAAUUUUCAGGGUUGUUUUCUUUCUUGCUUCCAGUUAACGCAAGUCAUUUAAGAUUGCUUGAUCUCUCGAGCAACCAUUUACAUGGAGAACUUCCCGAUUGCUGGACUCAUUUCAAAAAUCUUUUAAUUCUUGAUUUGAGUGACAACCGUUUUUUUGGGAGACUUCCUACCACAAUGGGCUCUUUAUUAUCAAUUCAAACAUUGAACCUAAACAAUAAUGGAUUUGUGGGAGAAUUGCCUUCAUCUUUGGAGAACUGUACAAGUCUCAUGGUUUUUGAUGUUGGAGAAAAUAAAUUAUCAGGUUUGAUACCUAAAUGGUUAGGGGUUGGACUUCCAAAUUUGACUAUCCUUAUCCUCCGUUCUAAUCACUUCUAUGGAAGCAUUCCAUCACAGUUGUGUAAUAUGGGAAGCAUUCAAAUUUUGGAUUUCUCGAUGAAUAACAUCUCCGGAAGUAUACCCAAAUGUCUCAACAGUUUGACUAAUUUGGCUCUAAGAGGAAGUUCAAGUCUAACUAUCAGUCAUUACUAUAAUGUAUCCUCGAGUGGUCUCGCUUUUCUGUAUGACGACGAGGCAUCCUUGAUAUGGAAAGGCAUAAUGUCCAAAUACAAAAGUACUUUGGGGCUUGUAAAGAGUAUUCAUCUAUCAAGUAACCGAUUAACGGGGGAGAUUCCUAGUGAAAUCACUGAUCUUGUGGGGUUAGUUUUUUUAAACCUGUCAAGAAACAACUUAACAGGUCAAAUAACUCCAAAAAUCGGGAAGUUGCAAUCUUUAGAUUUGCUUGAUUUGUCAAACAACCAAAUACAUGGUACAAUUCCAACAAGUCUUUUCGGAAUAUCUGGCCUUGGUAAGUUGGACUUGUCCAACAACCACCUGUCUGGAAAAAUUCCCAUGGGGUCUCAGCUUCAAACCUAUGAGCCCUCUGUUUUUGCGGGAAAUCCUCUCCUUUGUGGAAUUCCACUUCAGACGUGUUUUCCUGAGGAAACAACGCCGGCAGAGCAACCAGUGGUUAAGAAUCAAGAUGAAGAUAAUGACGGGUUUAUAACAACUGGAUUUUACGUGAGUUUGGGGCUUGGAUUUGUCGUUGGAUUCUGGGGAGUUUGUGGGAGUUUGAUAUUGACAGGUCAUGGAGAUACACAUACUUCAAGCUCUUGAAUGGUUUAAAUGAUUGGCUUUAUGUCAAGGUGGCAUUGCUCAAGCAACGAAGAAUGCUCGAUGAAUAAGCUGUAAGUAUACUGUCGCAUAAUGAAUAAUACUGCAAUUAACAUACAUGUCCUCCUCUCUUUUUAAACUCCCGGCUAACGGCUAACGCCUGUAAUUUACUUGAAUUUUUGUAGCUCGUCCAUCGGCUUCUUUGGUACGACAUGCUAACCCUUUCGGCUUUCGGUUUGAGAAGGAGCCUGAAGAAGAAGAAUGCAAUAACUUUUAAGUUGUGGUGGAAUUUCUCCAAAUUCAUGAGUGGGAAAUGUAUUUGGUUCAUUGUCGAGUUGUAAUUUUACACAAGUAUUUAUGGUUUUAGUUUCAAUUUUUCCCAAUUUGUUAUGAAUUAAUGGAUGAAUAGACUGCGUUCCAAAUUGAAAGCCAGGAUUGAAGAGCUGUGUGCAAGAGACUAAAAAGAGUGGCACUAAACGAAGACCAAAAAGAGUGCCACUAAACAAUGGACAUGAAUUAAAAUUUCAAAACUACAUUGAACUUGUUAAACAAAUUCAAAAAUAAGUGAGACGACCAGUUUGUGUAAUCUCAUACAAGCUUGUGAUAAACGAACAAGUUUGGCUCAUGAAAACAAAGGCAAAAUUAUUUUUUUUUUUAUUUAUUUGUUGCCCUAACAUACCAAACAGUAGCCCCCAAAAUCCGACUCCAGCUAAUUACCCCAACAAAAUAAGAAGAUUAAAUUAUGAAGAAAGGAAAAAAUAAUUAUGCUUGGGUCCAAAUAAAUGAGAAUUGGAACUCUUGGUAGCCUGUUAGCAUCUGGUCAAAAUUGUUCCAGCCUAUGGCUGAUAAGAGUUUUGUUCGAGCCGUUUCCACUCUGGAUGUACUCCUGUAUGCACGAGAGGUAAGAUGAGUAAAAGGGAAUGUAAUGCUGAAUAAGUGCUCUAGUUUAUUGUUUGUGGCUUGUUCUGAUCCUUCAGUAGAACGAUGCAGAAGCAGAUAAAAUAGUGUAUUCGAAUAUUGAUCAAACAUUCAGGAUUGGUACAAUACUAGUGGAAUUAAGCUUGUCUGAGUGAGGGAAUAUCACUAAUCAAAUAGCUAAUGCACAGCUAACUUGACUGAAAAGGGAAGGGAGGAAAUAACGAUAUCCAUAUCAAUUCCCCUCACUUGGUAAAAUAAGAACGUGACAGAAACAGAACAGCCAAUUAUGAAUAACCAGGAAUACGAAAAGAAAUUCUAAUGCAUAAUAUCAAUCAGCCCAUGAAAGAAAAAAAAAAGAGAUUUUGGAAAACCACAUGUAGGAGACAGGGAAACAGAUUAUACUUUCCAACUUUCGCUCCACAACUAUAUGCUUUUACGGAUAUCAUAUAGUAAAGAGGAAUGUUGAAAAACAAUUUCUUUUCGGGUUGCAUAGGUAAGUUUCACAGACCCACCGGGAUUAGCAUUCGCCCUCCACCCUUGGUCUUAAGGAAAAUGGCAUGUCAUUAGGUUCAAAAGCUAGUUGAAAGGAGAAACAUGUAAAGCAUUUGUAACCUUACCAAAAGAAACGAAAAUACCUUAGCACAGAUUUACUUAUGUGACAAGAGAUUAUGUAUCAGGAAAAAAACAAUGGUAGAAGCUUUCGGAAGGAAACAAAAAAGUAAGAAGAAAGAGAUCAUACAAGCAUAUCUUCUGAAAGAACUGUUUCCAUUAAUGGAAAAUGGUACAGGCCUCCUUUCCUGACCCAAAGAUAGGAUCUCUUGCAUCCUUUCAGGCCAGUCUGAAUUUAACCUCCGAGCAAAAUCUUCAACCUCCCUGAAUAACGAUUUAAGAAAAUAUGUAACAUUAGCAAGAACAAGUUUUGUCCCUAUAAAUUGCGUAUUUACAUGCAGAACCAUGGUGGAGGAUGCAACUUGAAAUUCCAGUUACAUCCUUAUCAGAAAAUAAAAUAAUACCGACGAGAGAAAAAGACUUGCAGAACCAGAAGAGUGGGCGGCCGGAACCAUGUUUCACAACAGAUGCUUAAUGGUGAUGACCAGAAUGAGAGCUAUUUUUCUUUAUAAACAUAAACAAAUAUUUAUUUAAUAUGUCCAAACAACUAUUGCACACAGAAAACUAAAAACCAACAUCUCUCAAAGCCACCAUAAAGAGCUAGCAAAGGCAAAACAAUAUCCCCAAUGUUUACUCAUUUUUAUCACAGACCAACUUUUUUAAGCAACCUUUUUCAUCUUCUUAGCUGGGUGAGGAGUGGAUUUGAACAUGGGACAGUUUAAAAAAGAAGUGGAGAAAUACCACUACAUUAAUAGCUAUUUAGUUUUUAAGCAAACUCUGCAACAUUGAAAACAAAUGACACUUUGAAAUUCUUUUGCAGGUAUCAAAUUUCAUCUUCUAAUUGCAUAUCUUCAAUUUCAUAAAAAUAAAAUAAAAAAUAAAACAAAAAUAAAGCAACGAAGUUGCACCAUAAUGAGAUCCACCAUUCUGUUUCCUUAAGCUUUCCAUAACUAAAGUCAUCAUCGACAAAGUUAUUACCACCGAGUUCAAUUCAGUACUUUUUCUUCCACAUGUUGCUCAACGUGAUAUAUAUAUUUUUUUUCAUCCACUAAAAUUAAAAAAGAUAAUAUUAUAUUGCAAACCGUGUAAUAACCCAAAAUAGUUGCAGACAAACCUAUCAAUUUUUUCCUUCAAUGCCGGAUCAAUCUCAUCGUCAAUAUCACCAUCAUCAAACCCAAUCAUAUCAUCCACCCUAUCAUCCUUUAGAUCUUGUAGCUUUAAUGUCAAACUAGAACUAGGCGUAAAUUUGUUGAGUUGAUCACUGGGGCAAGCAAAGUUAAGAUUGCUUGACACCUAAAACAUUUGGGCGAAAAGAAAAAUGAAGAAAAAUUAGCUACCCAACAACUCAAGCGGAAAUGUACAAGUUCAAGACCGAAUUAGUGAUUCAAACCUCAUGGAGCUCAUUGGCCUCAUAUAGACACGUGCUUUUCUGCUGAUCUUUUCUCCUGCGAUUCUUCUUUUUGUUCUUGGAAGUUUUAAUCCCUUUGGAAUCUGUGACACAUAAUUUCCUUACCUCCAAUGAGGCCUUCAAAAGGAAAUAAAGUAAAAAUAGUCGACUAAGACACUACACUUCAAAUCCCAUUUAAGGGAAUCUUAAGUACUUCCAAGUACAGUAUAAUGUGGGCUAAUGCAAUCCUGAAAAACAUUAGGAUCAAGUGUGCAUUGUGCAAUUUGCUCGUUGGAACUACAACCUACUCAAUGAUAAAUCCAAUUUCUCAAUUAACAAUAACUAUGCAGUCAAGGAAUAAGAGAGCAAUUACUCAGGUAUACCUCCAAUUUCUCCAUUAAUGAAUGACAAGAGUUCAUCAACUGAACGAUCAUCGUUUUGCUCUUCUUCGAGCUCGGCAUUCUGAAAAGUAUGGAAGGUUCAAUAAUGACUACUGUUGAUGCACAAAAUCAGCGAAGACUUUGGUACAACAGAAAGUGUCAGGUUUUGUGACCUUCGCUUGGUUGCUUCGGUCACUAGUGAGGAUAAGUACGUAAAUGAAUAGAGACAGAGAAACAAACACAGGAUGUACGUGGUUCACCCAGAUUGGCUACGUCCACGGAGUAGAGGAGUUCUUAUUAGUAGUGAAGGGCUUACACAAGUACAAAGGAUCAAGCUCUCAAUUUAGUGAGUUCUUGUGAAUGAUUUAACACAAAAUGGCAUUAGGCAAUAUUGUGGGGGAAUGACCCCUAUUUAUAGAAAAACUUGUAGCUUUGUCACAUUGACAUGUGUCAUGUUAUGAUUGGUUCUUGAUGUUGACACGUGCUGCGCUCUGAUUGGCUUCUAAUCUUGACACGUGUCGAGUAGUGAUUGGCCUCCUGGUCGGAGGGGAACUCUUCUGGGUCCUUGACAGUAUAGCGUUGGCCGGUGCUCGGUAGUUUCGGGAUUGGUCAAGUAUGGUACAAACAGUGCUCCCCUAAGUUCCCGAGUGAGGGAAACUCCUCGGUUGGGGACUUGCAAGAUCCAAUCCCUUGAGUAAUCACGAAACUUCUAAGUACCGAAGUGUGGUCUGAUCUUCAUCUGCCCUUCUCUGGAAGUACCUUUCCUCCAUCCGGGAAUGGUGUACUUUAGCUGAUGUUGACGCACAAGGUAAUGUAUCAAUUUCACUUGAAGCUUAGUUGUAGUUUCGGGCUUAGUCAAGUGUGAUACAAACCCUAUAGUAGGAGUCCCCCAAGUCGCCGAGCUAGGAGAUCUGCCGAAAGAGGUGACAGACAAGGUAAGCAGUCAAACUUCCAAGUAAGCAACCCAGGAUCAGAGGUUUGACGUCGGCUUCCGGUUGAUUGUUCUCAUUCUCCUUGUCUCUCAUUCAACUGCCAGGAUAAGGAGAAGCAAAUGGAUAAGAGAUGAUAUGAGAUACUUUUGCUUUUGAAGAAGUAACUUUCCACAGGCUUAUUCUUGAACUGUGCUGGAGGGUUUUCUGGUGCCCUUCAGAGUAUAAGGCCGACUCAAAAAUUUGAGGGUCAAAACAAGUCCAUCAAAUCUAGAGUACGUUCGACCUUGAUGAUAUGGGAUACUUUUUGCUGUUGACGGAAUAAUGAAUGUGGUAUGGAAAGGUGUCGUGCUGUAGUGAUCUGUUUCAGCUCACCGUUGAACCUUCUGCUUCAAUCUUUUGCAUGGCAGAAGUGGUGUGCAACCUUUGCAUUUAAAUGGUCCUUCAGAACAUUCCUUCAUAGUGACUCAUCCACGCUUGGCAGCUUCAGUGUAAAGAGCCAAUAUCUGAUCAACUGUCAUGAGGUAUUUGCCGGUGGAAUUCGUGACCUUGACAGCAGUUGAGGAUGAGUACUCGAGAGCAAUGCUAAGUAAGCAACCAGGCAAAGGCUCCAGGCAGUCAGUUCCAAAUUGGAGGUUUGAUUUCAGGUUCCGACUGACUGCUCUCUUUCUCCUUGUCCUGCAGGUGUGGACAAGGACAAAGACAAAGACAGGGAGAAAGCAUGAUAUGGGAUACUCUUGCUUUCGACCCUGAUGAUAUGAGAUACUCUUGUUCUUGGUGUGGCUUAUUUGCUGAGGUAUUAUCGGGGGGAAAAUAAAGCUGAGUAUUUCGAGAGGUUAUGUUGAGGGUGCCUUUUCGAAUGCGAGAAAGGGUUGAGCAUUUUUGCAGGUUUGCCUGUCCGUUGAGGAGGGAGGUCAAUGUAUAUAGGGAUUUCCCAAUAACAAGUAGUAAUGCUAUUCCUUUACCCUUCUUGGUCACAGCAAUGUAGUGGGAGCUGCCAGCUUCACGUGUUUUAAUUUUGUCAGAGCACUUUGAAAAAGUGGUAUGUGGUAUCUGGAAAGCUGAUAUUACGUGUGGAGAUUACAGACAAGCUUUAUCUAAGGAAAUCUGGCUCUCGAAGUUCUGAGAGUUGUGCCUCUUCGGUUUUCGAACAAGCAAUCCCGUCGAGGAUCUGACUCUCGAGAUUCGGAAAGCGGUGCUACUCCGGUUUUUGAGAAAGUAAUUAUGUUGGGAGUCUUUUCUCGAAUGUGAGUAAAGGUUGGUCGUUCUUGCCAACCUGUCUUGCCACAAAACACGGAGGUCGACACACAUAGGGACUUUCCAGUUGUCAAGCAGUGGUGCUGUUCCUUUACCCUUAUGGGUAAUAGUAGGGUAGCUGGCAACUUCGAAAUUCUCGUGCCUAAACUUUGUCAGAGAUCUUUGACAAAGUUAUAUGUGGUACCCGAGGAGUUGAUGGUGCAUAUGGAGAGCGGUGAUUGAACAGUAAGAUUCACGUGCUUUCUACUUCACCAGAAAUCUUCGACAGAUUGCCCGUAAUUUCCGCAAAGCUGAUUGUGCAUGUGACAGGUGCUGACGAGGCUGCAAAAGCAGGUGCUUCUUCGAUUUCUGAGAUCGGCCCUCGUGGUCUCUGAGCAGCCCAGCUUUUGAGAAAGCAUUCGCCUCUUCGAUUUCUGAGAUCGGCCCUCGUGGUCUCUGAGCAGCCCAGCUUUUGAGAAAGCAAACGCCUCUUCGAUUUCUGAAGCUCCGUCGAGUGCAGAUUUUUAUAGAGGCUGGCAUUAAGUUCCACAGCACACUUGAAUCUCUACCAGUAGAAGCUCAUUUCUUGCACUUCUAAGAUCUUGAUUUGUCUGACCUCUUCCUUCUUCAACACAUUUGAAAAUGUCUGGACCCUCCGACCGUCGUUUUGACUUGAACCUUGGAGAAGAGACAGCCACGCCUUCUCCAGACAACAUAUGGCGCCCAUCCUUCAUAUCCCCUACUGGUCCUCUUACCGUUGGGGAUUCUGUGAUGAAGAAUGAUAUGACCGCUGCAGUGGUGGCCAGGAACCUUCUCACUCCCAAAGAUAACAGACUACUUUCCAAACGGUCUGAUGAGUUGGCUGUUAAGGACUCUCUGGCUCUUAGUGUUCAGUGUGCAGGUUCUGUGUCUAAUAUGGCCCAACGCCUAUUUGCUAGAACCCGCCAAGUUGAAUCAUUGGCUGCUGAAGUGAUGAGUCUCAAACAGGAGAUUAGAGGGCUCAAGCAUGAGAAUAAGCAGUUGCACCGGCUCGCCCAUGACUAUGCUACAAACAUGAAGAGGAAGCUUGACCAGAUGAAGGAAUCUGAUGGUAAGGUUUUACUUGAUCAUCAGCGGUUUGUGGGUUUGUUCCAAAGGCAUUUAUUGCCUUCGUCCUCUGGGGCUGUACCUGGUAAUGAAGCUUCAAAUGAUGAACCUCCAAUGCCUCCUCCUUCUGGGGUUUUGUCAAGUACUGAGGCUCCGGAUAACCACCCUCCGGUGCUUUCUCUUUCUGGGGCUCUACCGACUGCUGAGACUUCCCCUAAGCAACCUUUGUGAAGGCUCCCUUUUGUUUGUUUAUUUUGACUCAUGUAUAUGUACAUAUUUGUGGCUUAUCGAAAAUAUUAAUAAAUAAGCUUUGCUUCAUUUCAACAUAUUGUGUUAAAUACACCAAAGCCUUCUUCAUAAAGUUCUUUGAAUUUUUGCUUUUGUUGAAACCUGUAUUGUUGAAGCUUUGUGAGUGAAGCAUGUAGUUUGAGGUAGUGUUCCCUUAAUUUCCCGAGUGAGGAAAACUUCUCGGUUGGAGACUUGAAAAAUCCAAGUCACUGAGUAGUCACGAACUUUUGAGUACCAAGGCGUAGUAGCAUAUGGUGGGAGUCCCCCAAGUCUCUAGUCGAGGGAGUUGACGAAUGAGGUGUCUUGCUAAUAGUCCAUGUCGUAAGUACCAAAACUUCAUUCUUUUGUUUUCUAAGUGGUAGCCCCGGACUUUUUCUUCAUAGAUUUUGUUUAUGAAGGUUGCUAGGCCCGAAUAAGUGGAAUUGCAGAAGGUGUAACCGUUGGUGCAUUAACAUCAUAAUGGAAGCAUCACAACAAUGAUGGAAGCAUCACAAUGAUGAAAGCAUCAUAAUGAUGAAAACACCAUAAUGAUGAAAACAUCAUAAUGAUGUUUCUUUGGUGGAAUUGUUUUUUCAUUUCCCCUAACAACCGGAAUUGUUUUUCAACAUAACACCAUCAUCUGUAGGUCGAAUCACAAAGUUGUCUUCAUGAAAGUUGUUCGUUAAUUCCUUAACUACAACAUAUCCAAAUUGGAGAGCCAUCGGAGCAGUACAACUCCAGAAAUCCAGGUAUGAUGAGUGACUGUUUAUCAUUUGUCUGUCAACCCGUCAGAUUUGUUGUGAGCUUUGAAACUCUAUUUUCUCUUGCUCAGAUCAGCAUGCUUUCUUCAUUGAAGUUGUUCCUCAGCUUGUGAACUACAACAUAUCCAAAUUUGAGAUCCCUCGGAGCUGUAUAACUCAAGAAACUCAGGUAUGAUGAAUGACUGGUUAUUAUUUUUCUGUCAACCCGUCAGAUUUGUUGUGAGCUUCGAAACUCCAUUUUCUCUUGUUCAGAUCGGUAUGCUUUCUUCAUUGAAGUUGUUCCUCAGCUUGUGAACUACAACAUAUCCAAAUUUGAGAUCCCUCGGAGCUGUAUAACUCAAGAAAUCAGGUAUGAUGAAUGACUGGUUAUUAUUUGUCUGUCAACCCGUCAGAUUUGUUGUGAGCUUCGAAACUCCAUUUUCUCUUGUUCAGAUCGGUAUGCUUUCUUCAUUGAAGUUGUUCCUCAUCGACUCUUUCAUAACAUAUCAAAAAUUCAGGAUGAACUAACGGUUAAAUAUUUCCAGAUCUUCGAAACAUCACAACAGCUUCGAAAUCUGCAAGAAGCCGACUAUCAUGUUUGGAGCUUCAACACUUUAAUUUCCGUCGCUCAAACAGAAAUGGUUCCUUCUUGAAAGUUGUUCAUAUGCUCAAGAACUAUAGGGUGUCCAAAAUUCAGCUCCAUUGGAGAAGAGCAGAGGUUGCAGAAAUUUGAUAGAUGAAAGGAGGCGGAAGAGGGAGAGAGAGAAAAAAAGUCUCUUGGGUUGGAUUUCUAUUUUGGGGCAGAUUCCAAUUUUUGUAGCACCUUCAUUAUUGAUGAAUUGCUUGUACUUUUGUCCAUUAUGAAAUUUUGGGACUUUGGCUUGUUGUUGGAUCUAUUAUAAUAUGUUUGGGAACAUAUAUAAGUGAAUAAAUAAGAAGGAAAAUUUUGGGCCCUUGUGGGUGUAAAACAAAAAAUGUUUAUGUUUACCCAAGUGUUUUUUGUACAAGUUCAAGGGCAUCUUGGGUUUUGUGAACAAAAUUUGUUUAUUUGGAGCAAGGUUUUGUGUUGUUGAAGCUUUGUAAGCUUUGUGUGAAGCUUUGGAGGUGAAGCUUUUCGGGUGAAGCUUGUUGGGUGAAGCUUUUUAGGUUUUGAAAGCUUUGUUGGGUGAAGCUUUUUAGGUGAAGCUUUUCGGUGUGUGAAGCUUUUUUGGGUGAAAGCUUUUUAGGUGAAGCUUUUCGGGUGAAGCUUUUUGGGUGAAGCUUUUUAGGUGAAGCUUUUUUGUGGUUGAAGCUUUUUAGGUGAAGCUUUGAUGGUGAAGCUUUUUGGGUGAAGCUUUUUAGGUGAAGCUUUGUGGGUGAAGCUUUGGAGGUGAAGCUUUUCGGGUGAAGCUUUUUGGAUGAAGCUGUUUUUUUUUUUUUUUUUUUUUUUUUUUUUUUUUUUUGGCGCUUGACACGGUCUUCAUUUGCUUGUUUUGUAGUGACUUGCUUUAUUGAGAAGGGUUCCGGCAUUGCCAAAAUGGCCUUUCAUUACAUAGGAUGCCGAACGGCUAUAGCUCAACACUUGUACAUCGUGAGUCUAUUUGUAGUAGUACUUCAAGUGAUCAGCGUUCCAUGGAUGGCCAAGGGUCUUGCCAUCGGAGCUUCUAAGUGUGUAAGAGCCAGGGCGACUGAUGCCAAUGACUUCAUACGGUCCAUCCCAGUUUGGACUAAGUGUGCCUUCACUCGGGACUCUGUCGCAGAGUAAUCUUUUCUUUAAGACCCAGUCUCCUAUUUUGAAAGAACGAGGCUUGACCCUAGAGUCAUAAUAGUUGGAGAUGCGCUGCUUGUAGGCGACAUUCCUCAAGUGAGCUUGGUUUCUGUGUUCCUCGACUAAAUCCAAGUUGAGGGUGAGUUGUUUGUCAUUUUCACUUUGAAUGUAGUUCUGGACUCGGAAUGUUGCUUGCUCGAGCUCAACAGGGACAACCGCCUCUGUGCCAAAGGCAAGUGAGAAUGGAGUUUCUCCUGUUGAAGUCCGAUAUGAAGUGCGAUAUGACCAAAGAACUUGGGGUACAAAUUCUGGCCAACAGCCUUUAGCUUUGUCCAAGCUGGUUUUCAAAGUGCGCUUGAUUAUUUUGUUGAUGGCCUCAACUUGUCCAUUAGACUGGGGAUGAGCUGGAGAGGCAAAGCAUAAGUUGAUGUUGAACUUAGAGCAGAACAACCUGAACUUCUUGUUGUCAAACUGUCGCCCAUUGUCAGUGACUAUCGCAUUGGGAAUGCCGAAUCUACAAAGGAUGUUCUUCCACACGAAGUCUUCUAUCUUUGCCUCAGUAAUGGUUGCCAAGGGUUCUACUUCGGCCCACUUUGUGAAGUAGUCCACUGCAACGACUGCGUAACAGACUUUGCCCUUCCCUGCCGGCAUUGGGCCGAUCAAAUCAAGUCCCCACUGGGCGAAGGGCCAAGGGCUGAUCAUAGGAGUAAGAGGCUCUGGAGGGGAAUGAGGAAUAGCCGCAUAUCGUUGACAUUUGUCACAUGAGCGGGAUACUUUGAUGGCAUCCUGGUGGAGUGUUGGCCAGUAAUAUCCUUGGCGAAAAGUCUUGUGUGCUAGGGACCGAGAUCCAGCAUGAUCUCCACAGACUCCCUCAUGUAUUUCCCGAAGGACGAUUUCCGCCUCGGCAGGCGUAAGACACCUUAAGUAUGGCAGGCUAAAACCUCGCUUAUAGAGUUGAUCAUUGAUGAUCAGGUAGCGGGUAGACUUGUAUCGAAUUUGCUUAGCCUGGACUUUAUCAUUUGGGAGGGUGCCAUGAGCAAGGAAAUUAUAGAUCGGGGUGAUCCAACUAUCCCCCUGUUGUAAGUUGCAUACUUCUGCGGCCAUGGUGCUUGGUGUUGCCAACAGUUCGACAUGAAUUUUUCUUCCAAUCUUGUCUUCCACAGCUGAGGCGAGGCGAGCCAGGGCGUCUGCAUGACUGUUUGCCGCUCGAGGAACUUGGGUGAUCUGGUAGUGGAAGUGCUUGAGCAAAAGUUGUGUUUGCGCAAGAUAUGCUGCCAUGGAGCUGUCCUUAGCAUCAAAGUUGUUGGUAACCUGGUUGACCACUAAUUGGGAGUCACUGAAAAUAUCAAUUUGUUUAACCCCGAGGUGUUUGGCCAAACGUAAUCCUGCUAGAAGGGCUUCAUACUCGGCCUCAUUGUUUGAUGCCUUGAAUUUGAAACGAAGAGCAUACUCCAUUGCUACUUUGUCGGGCGUAGUCAAGACUAGUCCCGCUCCACAGCCCUGUUGGUUGGAUGAGCCAUCAACAUACAGACUCCAUGCUGAGGUCGUUGAUUCUACCUUCUGAGCUUCCGAUGGUAAUGAAGCUACUGCUUCAGGUGUAGAAGCAAUGUCAACAGGAUAUGUGAAGUCGGCGAAUGAAAUCUGCUACUGCUUGGCCCUUCUCAGCUGGCUUUGGUUGGUAGGAGAUGUCAAACUCACCCAACGCUAUUGCCCAUUUGAUCAUUCGCCCUGAAGUGUCAGGACUUUGGAGUAUCUGUCGAAGAGGAUAAUUGGUAAGCACGAUGAUGGAGUGCGCUUGGAAGUAAGGGCGGAGUUUUCGAGCAGACAUGACCAAUGCCAGAGCCAAUUUCUCAAUGUUAGAGUACCGUGUCUCCGCAUCUUGUAAGGCUUUGCUAGCGUAGUAGACAGGUCGCUCAAUAUUCCCAUCCUUUCGAAUGAGAACGGAACUUACGGCUGAAGCUGAUACCGAUAGGUAGAUAAUGAGAAUGUCUCCUACCUCGGGCUUGGAGAGUAGAGGGGCUUUACUCAUGUACUCCUUGAGGUUUUUGAAUGCCUCGGCACAUUCAUCAGUCCAUGUAAUGUACUUCCUACUUCCCUUAAGUGCUUUAAAAAAAGGGAGCACAUUUGUCUGUGGCCUUAGAAAUGAACCUGGUUAAGGCUGCCACCUUGCCAGUAAGGCUCUGGAUGUCCUUUGAAGUUACCGGUUCCUUCAUGUCGAGGAUUGCUUUGAUCUUCUCGGGAUUAGCUUCAAUGCCUCGUUGGCUAAUCAUGAAACCUAAGAAUUUGCCAGAGCCUACGCCGAAGGCACAUUUGUUGGGGUUUAACCUCAUUCGAUACCUCUUCAAAAUAGUGAAAGUUUCAGAUAGGUUGGUGAUGUGUUGGUCAGCAUGUUUGCUCUUGACUAACAUAUCAUCAACGUAAACUUCCAUGCUCUUCCCAAUCUGCUCGGCGAACAUUGAGUUGACUAGUCUCUGAUAAGUCGCUCCUGCAUUCUUUAGGCCGAAAGGCAUGACUUUAUAGCAGUAUAGUCCUCUGUCGGUAGUGAAGGCUGUGUGUUCUUGAUCCGAAGGGUUCAUGAGGAUUUGGUUGUAUCCUGAGUAAGCAUCCAUGAAGCUCAGGAGUUCACACCCGGCCGUAGAGUCUAUAAGUCUGUCAAUAAGAGGAAGAGGGAAGCUAUCUUUCGGACACCCUUUGUUUAGGUCGGUGUAGUCAACACACAUUCUCCCACAAGACCUUUUGAAGCAAAAGACUUUCUUUGGUCGGAUUUUUCUUAACAAGGACCACAUUUGCUACCCAUGUCGGGUAAUUGACUUCGCGGACAAAGCCUAUGCCUUUGAGUUUUUCAACUUCUGCUUUCAUUGCCUCGUAUCGUUCAGCGUCAUAAGAUCUUCGCUUCUGUCUCACCGGCUUGAUCUUGGGGUCAAUACUCAAACGAUGACAGAUGACAUCGGGAGAGAUGCCUGGCAUGUCCUCGUAUGACCAGGCGAAGACUUCAGUGUUCUCUUUCAAAAAAGAUAUCAAUGCUAACCGAAGGGGUGGUGACAAUGUGGUGCCAAUCUUCACCAUGCGAUCUGGAUAAUCUCUUGAGAUAGGUACCUUCUCCAACUCUUCAGCAGGUUGGGCUUGCUGGGUGAAAGAGAGUCAUCUCGAGGAUCAUCGGGUUGAUUGUUGCUAUCAGGAAGAUCCAAGUUCGCUUCAUCUAGGCUGGUCUUUGUGACUUGGUCAUGUACAGACAGGGUUUCCUUGGGUCCGGGCAAGUGUUGUUGCUUAACUGAAGUGUUGUAACAUGAUCGUGCACUAAGCUGAUCUCCUCUGAUGUAGCCGUUGCCAUGGGGGGUUGGAAAUUUCAUCAACAGCAUAUGCGUGGAUACCAUAGCCUUGAGAUCAUUGAUGCCUGUGCGCCCAAAGAUGACAUUGUAUGCCGUUGGGCAGUCAACCACUAGGAAGUUAGUGGUAAUGGUAGCCGUGUAAGGGCCUGUACCAAUAGUAAAGGGUAAAUGUAUGCUCCCUAAGGGUUGCACGAUAUCACCGGAGAAGCUUAUCAGAGGAGAAAUCGAGCGAUCGAGCAAGUGUUCAGCUACACUGAGUGCCCUGAAAGCUUCGGCAAACAUGAUAUUGACCGAAGCCCCUGUGUCUACGAGGAUUCGUCGAACAUCAAAGUUGGCUAUGUGAGCCUCCACGAUCAAUGGGUCGUUAUGAGGGUAGAUGAUGCCUCUUUCUUCCUCAGGGUAGAAACAUAUCGGAUCCCAGUUAGGCUUUUGAUACUUCCCUCCCCUGAUGUCUUCCACGUGAAACACUUGGUGACCAGGCCUCAGAAUUCGUUCACUGUUUUUUCAUGGCCCUAUUGGAAGAUUCAGAUAUGGGUGUGCCGCCGCUUAUGGAAUAUAUGACAUUCACCUGGCGUUGGUUACGGUUAUCCCUUUGAGGGUGAAGGAAGGAAUUGAUCAAUUUUUCCUUCUCGUGCCAAAGCUUCAAUACGAUCACGGAGGAUGAUACAUUUCUCGCUAUCAUGGCCGUUAUGCUCAUGGUAGCAACAAAACAUGCCCGCGUUAUUCGGGGGCGUGUAAUCUGGGUGCCUCGGCUUUGGCUUUGGUAUCAGGUGAGCUAUGCUGGGGUAAAUGGCCGCGCAUGUGGCAUUCAAGGGCGUGUAUGUCUCAUACCUUGGGGUAGGGGGUAUCUUGACGCGGGUUUGACCCACUGCAUUGACUGCCUGGGGGCGAGCGUUAUUGUGGCGAUACCCUUGGUUAUCGGGAUAGUGUCCCUUACUCUUUUUACUGAAAUGGAGAGUGGUGAGGAUGGAAAUCCUUCCUCUUGCCUUGAAAUUGAUAUGUCUGUUGAUUCGGCGAAGCAUUAUGCAAGGCAUGGGGAGGUGCCACUGCUGUUUGGAAAGUCGAGGUCUUCUCAUUUAGGUGAGUCUGGCUUCCACCUCCCACUUGUUGAUAAAGGAUGGUUGUAGGGGGUUUCUCCUGAUAUGUCUUUGCCUCGGCGGAGGCAUGGUUAUAAGCCUGCGCCAUCACCUCAGAGUAAGUCUUCCAAGUAUUGGCAUUGAUCAUGUAUUUAAAGAAACAAUCACGUAGGCCUGCCGUGAAGGCUUUGAGGGCAGUCUUGUCGUCUGCCUCGGCACACCGGGAGUAUUCAUGGCUGAAGCGGCCAGCAUACAUACGUAAUGACUCGUCUGGCUUCUGGCGGAUAGUGUACAGGUCAUCUGCAGAGUGCAAGCGAUCGGUUUGGAAAAUGUGUUGGGAAACAAAUAGUUUCCUCAAUUCCUCAAAUGAGUCUACCGUCUCAGGUGUAAGACGACAAUACCAAUUUAGAGCUCCGCCAGAGAGGGUGGAGGGGAAGAGAAGACAUCGCUCUUCGUCGGUGUGCAUCCGGUAUGCCAUGGUGGACUCAAAGAGGUUAAGGUGCUCAAUCGGGUCCUCUUUUCCAGUAUAAAGUUGCAAGCCAAGCUUUUGCUUUGUCUUUGCUUGAAGGGGGGUGUUGAGGAUCCUCCUUGUAAGAGGGCCAGGCCUGGGUUGGUUCCAGUCAGGUAUUUCAGCCUGACGUUCAGCCUUCAACUUGUUUACUUCCUCAAGAAGUUGUAGGACAAGGGGGUCCUGAGCGGAGUUAUGUGCCACUGGAGCUUUCUUUCGUAAAUCUCCAUCUCCUCUUGGAAUUAGGAAGGUUUGAUCAAGGGCAUGUGAUUUUUUCCCUGGACUCGUUGUACUGGCUUCCAGGGUAUGUCUGUCGGAACACCUCUGAGUCCCCUGUACCCUCAUGUCUCUCUAGGACUUGUUGCCCCUUCCCCAAAUUGGUGGCCGGCUCGGGCCGUGGCAGGGGACCGAGUCUCUCAGAAAUCCUUGGGUCAUUGAUCUUUGAGCUUAUAUGGAUGGAAUUCUCUCGACGUUGCUUCAGGAAAUCCCGACAAUCGCGAAAGACGGCUUUCGAUCCUUCUGCCCCUUCAGCAAAGAGGUGUCUCCCUCCACUUCUCAUGGUUCGGGUCGAAGCAACUGGGUUAAGAGAAGCCUCAUGUUGAUUAUCAAGUCGAGGGGUAAUCUGUUCCCUAUCAGGGAUAUCUAUGUCGAAUGCAUGUGACCCUCCAUGUUGGAGGGCACCCAGUUGAUGGUUGACUUCCACGGGGGCAACAAGCUCGCGUGUCUGAGCUUGCCUAGCUUCGUGGAGUGUCUCGAAGAGCUUCUCAUAUUGCUCCUGGAGGACCUCAUUCCUCAUUGCUAUCUUGUUGUUCUGAGCUUCCAACUCAUCGACUUUAGCUUGAAGAAGAACUCGUUUUCCUUCCUUCUUUCGUUGUUUCGCACUAUGUGCAAGGGGGGUGUCAUUCUGUGUGCUGUGGCUUCCUUCGCUUCCCAUGUUGGAGAGGGAUGCCUGAUCAAAAGAAAGUGUACGAAUGAUAGAAACCAGCUUGACACAGCUGAAGAGAGUAGGAAUAAGUGUCGUUUCCCACAGACGGCGCCAAAUGUUGAUGCACAAAAUCAGCGAAGACUUUGGUACAACAGAAAGUGUCAGGUUUUGUGACCUUCGCUUGGUUGCUUCGGUCACUAGUGAGGAUAAGUACGUAAAUGAAUAGAGACAGAGAAGCAAACACAGGAUGUACGUGGUUCACCCAGAUUGGCUACGUCCACGGAGUAGAGGAGUUCUUAUUAGUAGUGAAGGGCUUACACAAGUACAAAGGAUCAAGCUCUCAAUUUAGUGAGUUCUUGUGAAUGAUUUAACACAAAAUGGCAUUAGGCAAUAUUGUGGGGGAAUGACCCCUAUUUAUAGAAAAACUUGUAGCUUUGUCACAUUGACAUGUGUCAUGUUAUGAUUGGUUCUUGAUGUCGACACGUGCUGCGCUCUGAUUGGCUUCUAAUCUUGACACGUGUCGAGUAGUGAUUGGCCUCCUGGUCGGAGGGGAACUCUUCUGGGUCCUUGACAGUAUAGCGUUGGCCGGUGCUCGGUAGUUUCGGGAUUGGUCAAGUAUGGUACAAACUACAAAAAAGAUUUUUAGCUGAAAGAGAAACUUUUGAUCGUUUGAAUUCAGAUUCAAUCAACUACUCAUUUCUCUUCUAGUUCCCCUUUCUGCUUAUAUUAAAGCGAAGCGGAUGUCGUUGAUGUCAAACCAUUUCCUGGAUAUUUUUGUGGUGUUAAAAACAACAAAGAAACACCAAGUUUUUGCUAAGCAUACACAGAUAUCUCAAGCAUCGGAGACCUCUGUAAGAUCAUCAGGGAGAUGAAAUAUUUCACGUAUCUCCUCAGGUGUUUUCCCUUCAAUUAUUCGUGCAAGAGCAUGACUAGUAAGAUCCACCAAUGGUUUUAAUUGGAGGCUGUCAGCAGCUGAAGUCAACUCACAGAGCAACUUGGUGUCCAUUCGGAUGUAUUUUUCAUCAAAAGCCUUGCAUUCCUACAUAAACGAGUGGUGCCGAGUCAUAUAAGCGUGCCGAGUUUACACCAGCAUCAGAGUAAACAUUUAAUCCAGUGUGCAGGUGGAGAUUAAUGUCCUCAAUAGCUCAAAUUUAUGCAAAACAGACAGAGGGCAUAGACUCAGAAAGAAGGAAAAC